rnacentral:lncRNA from 1 species
AAAAAAUACACUACAAGAAAACAAACAAUCAAACAAACAAAAAUCCAAAAAAUAAUGUUCAGUCAUAUUUAUUACAAAUCAAAAUAAAAAUGCUAAAAUUAAAACCUAAACUAUUCUAACUAUCCUAGCUAUGCUUUACCCGAUGCUUCGGGCAGUGAUCAUGAAUGUUCUUCACGUCCAAGAUACUUCGGGGCAUACCCCGGUGAAUAAGUACAAAUGGCCUCGGGGCAUUCUCUGCCUAAAUGAAUACAUUUUUUCAAUUUCAAGUGACAAAAUGAAAGAAUCUCAAGCACAAACAUUCAAUCAUUCCACAAUCGUCAAUUUCUAUAAUUUUCCUACCCAACUUAGUAUUUGCCUACCUAGAUGACAGCCUAAACAUGACAUUGUCGCGUUCAACAAUAUUCAAUGUCCAUUUUAAAUCAAUCAACGAUUCAAUGAAUUAAACUAAUUAAUAUUCACCCUCUUUUAAUCGACUUUCAAUACACCGCCCCAACAUUAACCAAUUUUAACAUAAAAAAUUAUGAUCACCAUUUUUCAUAAUCCAUAACCAUUUUAACAAUAGAUUGAUAUCAUCGAGCAUUCAUAUCAUGCUUCACACAAAUCAAUCACUUGUACAUAGUGAAACUAAAAUGAGAAAGAGGUAGAAUUGAACCUUUUGAAUACUUUCGGUCGAUUUACAAAGAGAAUAAAGAGCUAUCCCAAAACCUCAACGAAUAUCAAAAGCUUGACUAUGACCCAACUUCCACACGAUAGUCUCCAAAAAUCCAAUUCAAACACUAAUCAGUGAAAACCAACAAGCAAUACAAAAAUAAAAUUAGAAAAACAAGAGACCCGUGUGACGAUUCCCAACGAAACCUUGUUGGAAUCAACUCAAACGGUCGGUCUGGGAUUAAUGGUUCACUAGAUUAUUAUUCCCUAUGGGGUCACAUCUGAAAAUCUAGAAAAAUGAUAAGAUUAUUGGGGAUUUCAAAACUGGAUGGGUUACCUCAAUGAGCCGACAUUGAUUUCGAUGAGACUUUCACCAAAAAAACUUGAAAAGACAGUCGUAUUCUCACCGAUUUCACUUUCCAAUCAAAUCUCUCUAUUUGCAGUCCAUUUUUUUAUCUUUUCCUCCUUAACCGCGUGUAAAUCUCGAUGUGUAUGUGUGUCUUUCUAUUUGUGUACCCUCUCUUUUUUUUUUAUGGUGUAUGUGCGUAUAGUGUUUUUAUGUAUGUAUGUCUACCUCUAUGUAGAGUGUUCGAGCUGUGAGUGAUGGUGUGUAUUGUGAAGGGAAUCUAGUGAAUAAGAGAAAGCCCCCUUAUGUGUGUGUAUGUGAAUAUGUAUAUAUUGUGUGUAUAUAAGAGUGUGAGUGUGUGAAUAUAUGUACAGCUGUCCCUUUUCUAGUGAGGUAAAUGAUUUAUAUUGUAUAUAUGUGUAAUCUGUUAAAGGAAAAGGGUAAAGAAAAUGUGAGAGUGGGUAGGGGUAGGAGGUAUGUAGGUUUGGAGUAGGGUAGGGGUGAGGUGGUGAGUAGUUAGGAUAAGGUGAGGUGGUUAAAUUUGAUUGGGUGGGUUGUUAAUUUGUUAGGGAUUUAAUUAUUUUGGAUUAAGAUCAAAAUAACUAAAUUAAUAAAUAAAUGAAAAAAAUGAGGUGGUUGUUUAUUUUGUUUUUUCUUGUGAGAAAAUUACUACGCGGUAAAGUAUAUUCAAAGUUGAUUUGGGGAGGGACGAAAUUACGUGACUAAAUCAUGUCCCUUUUUGGGUGUAAACACAAAGUAUUUUCAGACAAAGAAGUAGACAACGAGACUGAAUUUUGACCCGAUCAUUAUUCAAAGGAGGAAAAAAGAGGGAAGAAAUGCAAUUGUUUUUUUUAUUUUGGACAUCCUACUUACCCAGAUUAUGAGAGGAUCGAGUCAUAGGUAUUUUAAAGGGUUGGAAAAAGAAGGAUCAUACUGAGUUGGAGAGUCGAGUGAGGCCCUAUCGAGGUUCUGAUCUGUGGCUCUGUUAUUACAUCAAAAAUGUUCUUUAAAAGUGCUGAACUUAUUUUAAAAUUACAAGUUAAAAGAUAACAGAAAUUACAAAAGUCCUAUCUAUGCAGUUUCUCUGGACUCUCGGCUUGAGUUUCUAAUGCUUUCAAAAUUGACAAAAGAUAUAAUCUUAUUUGGGCUCCAUACAAAAUUUGAUGUUGGAGAUAAACUAAAAAACUAACCAUGUUCUGUUAGUGGAACUUCAAAAUUUGAACCCGAAUUUGAAAAUCUUCACCCUAUUCUUCUAGUGAGCUCCUGACUUACAAUUUCUUCACUUUGUUGCUUGGCUUCCAAUUUCUUCACCUUAUUUCUCAACUUUUAAUUUCUUCACCUUAUUUCUUGACUUUUAAUUUCUUUAACUUAUUGCUUGAAUUAUAAUUUGUUCACCCCAUUCUCCAGGUGGGAGCUUGACUUCUAAUUUUUCCACCCUAUUCUUCAAUCGGGGUCUUGACUUAUUGUUAACUAUAAAAAAAUAUUUGAAUUAAUUUCAGUGAUUUCAAAAAAUAUUCUCAAUUCAAAUAUACAUAUAAUAAUAAAAAAUCACAUUACAUUUUAAAACAGUUAAGGAUAAGAAAGAUUAAUAAUCAAAUUUUCCUUAACAAACGGUUAUAUGAAAUGUAUAAAAAUCCUACCAUCUUUUCUGAAUUUUUCUUUUAUAAAAAAUUCCUAUUGAAAAAGACUUUUUUCUUAGAAAUUUUCAAAUUAUGAAUUUUUGCUAAAGGAAACAAAAGAAAUUUUAUUUUGAUGUUUCUGUUUUUUAAGAAAUUGCGUGCAAAAAAAUUAAAAAAUCUUUUUAAAUUUUUGAAUUGUAGAAAAUAAAAGCCAUAAAGAACUCUAGAAAACUAUGAAACUCUUUUUUUUACUCACUUUUUCUCUUUUUAUUCAACAUUUUCUUGCCUACGUACUUCCUUUAAUUCUGGCACAUGUUUUUCCCUAAAUCAGUCCGUCAAAUGACCCUACUACCCUCAGAGAUGAAAUAAUUAGCACGUUAGAAUGUUUAGAAGGAGUCUCCUACAAAGGACCAAACAAUUCCCGGUAGGUCUUAAUAUGAUGCAUAUAAGAAUGACCUAAAGUUGACCUACGUUGGGGUUCAACUAACAAGGCUGUUCGGGGGAGUGUAUGAUCGAUAGUAGUUGCAAUUGAUUUCCACCUACUCAAUACCAGUCGAUGACCCCCUCCUAAAAUAAGGGUGACUCAACUAGAGGUCGUGUACACAACGUGAACUACGAAACUUAUUGUGAAAGAAAUGACUCGAGUUAUACAAAUGAUAAUAGAUAUAAAACGGUAACUGUAACACCCUGAUUUUCUGAACCAAACUGCUACAUGGUGCUCAUGAUCCCGAAGGACCACAAGCUAACCCAUGACUGAUAUCUGUACCUGUAGACUGCAUAAUAUAUCAUAAAAUACGGAAAUAUGAACAUGAAAGGCCAUAAGGUUCGAACUGAAUAAACGUCUGAUAACAAAAUAUCUGAAAAAGGUAUAACAAUACCAAAACAAGUCAUAAAUACUGAAAAUAAUGAGAUCUGAAUAUCUAAUCUAACAUCUAGUCUGAAAGCCUCUAACUGAACUGAAUAAGGAGUUGAAGGAACAUGUCUCCAACUAACUCUAUCUAGCAACUGAAUAGUAAAUGUAGCAAUAAUCAUAUCAUCCUCGAAAGAGAAGGACUCACUGCAAACUCUGAACACUGGAAUGCUACAGCUGAUAUGGAGCUCGUGCCUCUAAACCUAUGGUGUAACAUAAAAGAAAGCACCAUAGCACAAAUGCGUCAGUACAUUUAAAUGUACUGAGUAUAUGAGUGAGGUAGGCUAAAUGCAAAGGGUUAUAUGCAUGAACAAUGCUAACUAAUAUGAACGUAAGAAUACAUACAUUCAUAAACAACUAUAACUGAACUCGUGAUGAUGUUGACUACUGAGUCUGAAUGCUGACGACAUGAAUUUACUAUUAUUGAGAUACUGAAUAGAUUACUGACUAUUUCUGACAGUUUAAAUUAUAAAGAAUUGGUUUGAAUGACUGUAUCUAAUAGUAUUGAAACUGAAUACUGGUAACGUGAGCUAUAACAACUGAUAUAGCUGAUAUAACUGUAAUGAUCAAACUAAUCGAUAUAAUCAAUACUGAGCGAUUGUAUCUGACAGUCUAAGUUCUGAUGGAACUAUCUGAGUUCCAUUCUACUUGGAGUAACUAAAUCUGAGACCAGUCUUAUCUAGUGGGUGAUCAUAAGCAUACUGAUAAUAAGGAUGAUCUGACUUAGUCUGAGAUCAGUCCUAUCUAGCUGGUGAUCAUAAAAUCUAAUGAUCUGAUACUGAUUAAUCAUAGUUGAGAUCAGUCCUAGCUAAUGGGUGAUCUUGAAGUCUAUUUACAAUGAUAAGCAUUAAUUGUUUCUAACAGUACUGAAUCUGUACUACUAAGCUGAGUUGACUGUUUCUAAAAGCCCUAAUUUUGUAACUGAAACUGUGGGAUGUGUUCAUCUAACUGACAUGCCCCAAGCUAAGCUAACUGGGGUCCAAUCUCUGCCCUAAAUAGAAGGGUGUCAAUACCGUGCCACCAGUAAAGACAUCUACUGUAGAGUCAGUCCUAAUCUAGUGGGUGAUUUCUGGGAUCAGUCCUAUACAUAUAAAUGUGCUAACGGGUGACCCCUGAGUAUGUCAGUCCUAUCUAACAGGUGACAUACUGUACCUACGCUGGCUACAUAGUUCAGGAACUUAGGGAUUGCUUCUAGGGAUCUCAGUCCUAUUCUAGUGGGCAAGUCCCCAUCCCUAGGCUCACUCGGUGCUGAAUCCUACUCUCAUCUAAAAUACACUAAACUGAAUAACAGAGAUGAACUCAAUAACUGAACUAAACUGAUUAGCUGAACUAAUACUAGUGGUAUUAUUUAGCCGAGCUAAACUGAGUUUACUAAAUUUUGAUGGCUAACAAAAUGUACUGAGUCCUGAAGAUUGAUUGAGAGUACUGAAGUUACUGAGAUUGACUGUGAAUACUGAAGUUACAGACUGAGUACUGAGAUCACUGAGAUUACUGAACUACUGAAACUACUAAGAUUUCUGAGUUUUCCUGAGUCACAUAACUGACUUAAUUCUAUAGAUCAUGGGUUAACUAAGAGUAUCGUGAUAACAUGACAUGGCUCUAGGCAUACAACUAUAUUUUUUGGGUACGAAUACCCCUAGGACUCGAUGAAAGGAAACUGACACACAUGACUGACUUGAGUACGUGACCAACAUCAACAACUUAUAAUAUCAUAACUUAGGGAAUUCCAUGAAGUUCAUAGAUAUCAUACAUUUUGUACAUAAGUAGGAUUUGCAUGUAAGCAUGGCAUAAUCUCAUAAGACUAGUUCAUGAACAUCCCAACAACAUUUACAAGACACAAUAUCAACAUGAAAAUCAUUGGAAUAUGGAGGCAUAUCAUGAAUCCUUCACUUAGUCACAAUUUAGCUAUAAUGCAUGAUUUCUAGUCUCUUAGGUAUUUUAUCAAACACCUUACAUGCACAACUUAGGCAUAGGUGUAAACCAUACAAUUACUCAUCAUAAAUAAUCAAACUUACAUGUUUUCAACUCAUAUNNNNNNNNNNNNNNNNNNNNNNNNNNNNNNNNNNNNNNNNNNNNNNNNNNNNNNNNNNNNNNNNNNNNNNNNNNNNNNNNNNNNNNNNNNNNNNNNNNNNNNNNNNNNNNNNNNNNNNNNNNNNNNNNNNNNNNNNNNNNNNNNNNNNNNNNNNNNNNNNNNNNNNNNNNNNNNNNNNNNNNNNNNNNNNNNNNNNNNNNNNNNNNNNNNNNNNNNNNNNNNNNNNNNNNNNNNNNNNNNNNNNNNNNNNNNNNNNNNNNNNNNNNNNNNNNNNNNNNNNNNNNNNNNNNNNNNNNNNNNNNNNNNNNNNNNNNNNNNNNNNNNNNNNNNNNNNNNNNNNNNNNNNNNNUUUUAAGAUGCUUAACUGAAGAAAAAUGGGAAAAAUUAUGCCUCUUUAGGGUUAUAAGUUGUGGAAGGUGAAGGAAAAGACCAAAAUACCCUUAUGAAGUAAUUUCCCAGUUGCUGAAAAUCAUAGCUGACGACCUUUAUGAUAGGGCGUCACAAAUGUGAUAAGCUAUCAUGAAUGUUGUCACUUAGGGGAUGGUUUUUACCUAAGGCUGACGACCUUCGUGAUAGGGCAUCACAAAUGUGAUAAGCUAUCACGAAUGUCGUCACUUAGGAGCUGGUUUCUGCCUAAGGCUAACGACCUUCGUGAUAGGGCGUCACAAAUAUGAUAAGCUAUCACAAAUGUCAUCACUUAGGAGCUGGUUUCUGCCUAAGGAUGAUGACCUUUGUGAUAGGGCAUCACAAAUGUGAUAAGUUAUCACGAAUGUCGUCACACUAUUUCCAGCCUAAUAUGCUGGAGUAAAAUAGGCAUAGCUCUUUGCUCUGAUAUUGGAUUUAGGUUAAAUUGGUAUCGUUAGAAAGCUAAUUCAAAUAGAUUUCAUUUGAUAUAUAUUAAACCACCCAGUUAGUCAUAUAAAACUAGUUAUGUUCGAUUGAAGUUUACCCAAGUUUUGACGCUCACUAAAACUUGAACGAUAGGAAAGCUUUCAACUUGUACUUGAGUUAGGGGACCUCUAUGAUCUAAAUUCAUGCUCAAAUAGAUUACCACACUACAUAAUUGAUUAACACACUAAAUUUAUAUAGGAUUUAAGGCUUUUGAAACAUCCACGCAUAAGAAUGACGGAUUUUCCUUCUAGUCCAAAAUGUGGGGUUUUACAGUAACACAUAAGAGAAAAACUGAAAACACGUAACACGUAAUCACUCCAUGAUGAUAAAAUAAUAACACACAUAAACAAGGCGUCUAUACAUCCAUGAUGUCAAACUAAGCCGAUACAACUCAAAAAAUAAGCUUGAAUUUUGAAAAUUCCCCAAUAGAGUCGCCAGAGCUGUCACGACCUUUUUUUACCACAAAAAUUAUUAUUUUAAGUUUGAAAGAGUUUUAUUAUUAAGUGACAUAAUAUAAAGUAUAUUUUUAAAAGGGUACUUUACGUUUAAACUCAGAGUCGACACUUGACAUAAAUCUGGUGUGCCAAGUCACCUUUGACUCUUUAAAACUGGUUUACGAACAGAGAUUCCAAUUAAGGAAUUUUGUUGGUCGAGGGGGGGUGUUAGGCACCCCUCGAUCCUAUGGUUCGACCACGAUCGCUUUGUAAAUUAUAUUGGCUAGUAUGAUACUAUGGAAUGAAACCAAACAAAACAGACAACAAGAAAACAAACAAUCAAACAACAAAAAUCCAAAAGAUAAUGUUCAGUUCAAUUUAUAACAAAAUGAAAUAAAAAUGAUAAAAUUAAAACCAAAACUAUUCUAAAUAUCCUAGCUAUGCUUUACCCGAUGCCUCAGGUCUUGAUCACGAACGUCCUUCACAUACAAGAUACUUUGGGGCGUACCUCGGUGAAUAAGUACAAAUGGCCUCGGGGGAAUUUCCCAGCUAAAUGAAUACAUUUUUUCAAUUUCAAGCGACAAAAUAAAACAAUCUCAAGCACAAACAUUCAAUCAUUCCACAAUCAUUAAUUUCUAUAAUUUGCCUACCCAACAUAGUAUUUUCCUACCUAUUUGACGGCCUAAACAUGACACUGUCGUGUUCAGCAAUAUUCAAUGUCCACUUCAAAUCAAUCAACAAUUCAAUGAAUUAAACUAAUUAAUAUUUACCUCUUUUUUAUCGACUUUCAAUUCAUGCCCCCAAGAUUAACCAAUUCUAAUAUAAAGAUUCACGAUCACCAUUUUUCAACAAUCCACAACCAUUGUCAAUGAAAUUAAACAAUAGAUCGAUAUCACCAAGCAUUCAUAUCAUGCUUCACAUAAAUCAAUCAAAUGUAUAUAAAGAAAUUAAAAUGAGAAAGAGGUAUAAUUGGACCUUUUGAAUACUUUUGAUCGAUUUAUGAAGAGAAUAAAGAGUUAUCCCAAAACCUCAACGAAUACCAAAAGCCCGACUAUGACCCAACUCUGACACAACAAUCUCAGGAAAUCCAAUUUGAACACCAAUCUGUGAAAACCAAUGAGCAAUCUAAAAAGAAAAUUAGGAAAAUCAGAGACCCGUGUGACAAUUCCCAAAUAAAACCUCAUUAGAAUCGGCUCAAAUGGCUAGUUUGGGAUUAAUAGGUCACUGGAAUAUGAUUCCCAAUGGGAUUACGUCUGAGAAUCUAGAAAAAAGACAAGAUUAUUGGGGAUUUCGGAACUAGGUGGGUUACCUCGAUGAGACGGCACCGAUUUUGGCAAGAAUUUCACCAAAAAAAAUUAAAAGACAGCUAGAUUCUCACCGAUUUCACUUUUUGAUGAAAUUUCUUUAUUUUCAGUCCAUUUUGGCUCUUUUCCUCCUUAACCGCGUGUAAAUUUUGAUGUGUGUUUUUGUGUCUUGCUAUUUGUGUACUCUCCCUUUUUCGGUGGAGUAUGUAUGUAUAGUGUUUUUAUGUGUGUAUGUCUAUCUCUGUGUAGUGUGUGUGUGAGCUGUGAGUGAUAGUGUGUAUUAUGAAGAAAAUCCAGUGAAUGAGAAAAAGCCCCCUUGUAUGUAUGUUAAUAUGUAUAUAUUGUGUGUGUAUAUGAGAGUGUGAGAGUGUGAAUAUAUGUACAGAUGUUCGUUUUCUAGUGAGAUAAAUGUUUUUAUCAUAUAUCUAUGUGUAAUCUAUUAAAGAAAAAGGGGAAAGAAAAUAUGAGAGAGGGUAGGGAUAGGGGUGUGUGGGUCUGAGGUAGGGUAGGGGUGGGGUGGUGAGUAGUUAGGAUAAGGUGAGGUGGUUAAAUUUUAUUGGGUAGGUCAUUGAUUUGUUAGGGAUUUUGUUAUUUUGGAUUAAGAUAAAAAUAACUAUUAAUAAAUAAAGGGAAAAAAUGAGUUGGUUGUUUAUUUUGUUUUUCUUGUGAGAAAAUUACUACGUGGAUAGGGUACACGGUAAACUGUAUUCAAAAUUGAUUUAGGGAGGGACAAAAUUAUGUGUCUACAAUUUAUCACUAUUUUGAUAGCGUGGUAUAGUGCGAAAGCUUCUCGAAAGGGAAAAUCACCAAUUUAGUAGAUUUUAUCGGCCUUUCUUCAGCGUCCAAAUAGGGAACGCUUACCUUACUCUUAUAUUGAGCUUAAUUAUAGUAUCUAUAUAAUAUUAUGCUAGUUUCGGGUUAGAAUUACAACUUGGUAUCAUAUUUAGCAAAUUUAGAUUACUUAGCCAGUUAGUGAACUGUGAUUAGGCGCAUUUGACUUAAUUACUCUUUUCUUAGGUUAAAUUGCUAUUUUAGGACUCAGUGAGGCUUAUUUAGAACCUUGUAGUAGGGUUUGGCACCAUAACCUAGUUGGGGUAAAAAUUGCAUUACAUAGGAUUUUGGGGUUGGAAGUGGUCUCCUCUGAUCCACUUUAGGACAAGAUUACUAUUAGCUCCUUGUAGGCUUAAUAGGCAUGUAUUCGUUAUCUUAUUUACAUUUUUUAGCCCGAAAAGAGAAUUUAGAUAAGUUAUGACUUAUUUAGGCUUAUACUUGGAAAAUACUAAGAUCGGUUCGAGUUCGGCAAAUAAUGAUACUAAGAUAGAUUCAAGUAUGGCAACUAUGAUGACAUUAUCUUCUGAUUCAAGUCUGGUAUUAAUGAUAUUAUUUUCUAUUCAAGUCCAGCAUUGAGAGGUUACUUAUGAUGGUUAUGGACUGAUUCGUGUUUGAUGUUUAUGGUAUGUAAAGAUUCAAGAUUACGACAUCGAGGUUUGGGUACUUGUAAUAAUUACUAUCAUUACUUGUUCAUGAUUGCAUCCACUGGGCUAAUGGGGGUGCACGUUAGAUUGUUUAUUUUUAUUUGUAUUUACUGGGCUUAUGAGGUCCCAAUUGUGUUAUAGAUAGUUGUGUCCUCUUGAUAUUCUAAAUUCGGUUGUUUACUUUCAGUAUUUGGAGUAUUAUUUUAGGAUAUCCCUUCUUCCCUAACUUAGCUUAUUAAUUCACAUUUUAUUGUGUUUAUCUUAUAAUUUAGCUAAGUUGGCCGAUGAUGCCUACUGAGUAAUCAUUGCUUUAGUACUCAUACAACACUUCUAUACCUUUUUGGUGCAGAUUCAAGUACUAACUACUUCCUUGAUGGUGUGUUAGUGUUGGUUAUAGUUCGAAGAUAGGGUGAGCUCUUGGAGACGGAGUUGACUUUCUCUCCAUCUUCUAUUUUGGAUGGUCUUUAAUUUUGAGAAUAUUGUAUAUUUGAUACUCUUAUUCUUUUGUUAGAUGCUCUUGUACCGACCUUACUAGGUCGUGGACAUUGUUACUUUUCUCCUUAUUCUUUUUCGAUCAUGCUAUAAUUCUUAUUCUUUAUGGCUUGUAACCUAAUUACUUGUGUAUUUUUGACAUUUAUUCUAUUUUCCACCAAUUAUCCCAUUACUAGCUAUUUUAAGCUACAAUUUGGCUUACCUAGUGGCGGGAUAAAGUAGGUGACAUCAUGACUUGUGAAAGUUGGUUGUGAAAAAUUGGUAUCAAAUCCACGUUCACUGGUAUUAUUGGUAAAAGAACAAGUAUCUAGUAAAGUCCCCUGAAUCAAAACAAUGACAUUUGUUUCUUAUCUUUGGGAGGCUAUAAGACAUUCUUAGGAGGUCUUUACUUCUUUCACUCAAUUUGUGUUAAGAGUUUGUGUUGGUUUCUAAGAUUAUUUAGUUUUACUCCUUCGCUGAUGGAUAGGAGGUGAUCUAAUACUACCAAAGAUGAGGACCUCGAGUCCAAAACUAGGGAUCUGACCAAAGGACGUGGAUGGCCUAGAGGUUGAGGGUAGGAAAAAGUUGCAUCUUCAGCUAGAGAUGCAGAUAGAAAGCCUUCACCAGACCCUAUUUCUACUCGCGCACCAUAGAUUUCUCCAACUCAGCUAAUGGUGGGCUAAGGAGAAGCCCAGUCUUUCCCAGAGUUUAUUGCUUCAUUGCUACUCAGAGAUAUCUUAGUUCAGCUUUUGGACUUGAUUAUUAGUGCACCAACUGAUGAUGCUCAAUCUGUAGAUCAGAGUAAUAUAAACGUAGGGGCGCAGCCUAUAUCUAUAACCCCAAAAGUUGAGAUCCCUCCAGAGUCGAUAGUUUUUCAUCCAGCAGUCACCCAAUCUGCUAUGUCUAUUGAGGAGCAGAAAAUAUUGGGUGGUAGAUUUCUGAGAUUAACUCAUCCUAGGUUUUCUGGGGCACUGAGCGCAGAUGCAUUUGACUUCUUAUGUAACAUCUCAAAAUUUUUACCUUUAAAAAUUUAUUGAGUUUUGAGCUUACUGCCCAGGUUACAACUCAUCUCACGAGUUGAAAGAUCUUCCUAUGAGUCAUCAAGUUUGAGUCGUAGGGUGACCAGUGAGGGCCCCUAAGUUUUUGUCCUAAUCAUGAUUAGUACCUAACGAGUUGUGAGGAGUAGUCAUGGGUCGUAGUAUAUGACUCAUGACCAAACCAGUGUAGGUGCCCAAGUCAUUGUUGUGGUUACGACUAGGACCUUACGAGUUGUAAGAUUCGUGUAUAAGUUGUAGGGUUUAACUCAUAGGGUUAGCAGUAAGGAUUCCCUAUGUCUUUAACCAUACUUCAAGUCAUGGAGAUGACUCAUAACCUAACAUCACGAGUCGUGAUAUGACUCGUAGUCACUGGCGAUAACUUUUCCUAUGUUUUAAAUUGGGGGCACUUUGGUCAUUUCCCUCUUUGACAGUUUUUCCUGUAUUUUAAAUUGGGGGCACUUUUAUCAUUUCCCUAUUUCCCCAACUGUGACCCACAAUUUAAAAUACUUUAGGGUCUUAUUAUUACUCCAAAAGAAAUCAAAAUACACUUCUCUUCUCUUGAAUUCCUCAAAAAAAGAACAAGGUAAGGGUUUCUCAAGGUUGAUCAUCUAGGGCUCAGAGGUUGAUUUCUCUCCAUAAUUCUUAGUACUUUUAGGCAUUUUUCUCUUUCCUAAAACUUAUUUUUUUGAAAGGCAUAUGUUUAAACUUGUUAUCCAUGUGAUUAAUGGUGGUUAUGGAAUUUUGGUUGAGGGAUUUGGAAGGUUAUUAUAAAUGGUUUUCCAUGGUUUAUAUGUAAUUAUUCAUGCUUAAAUUGAUGGGCUUGAAAAUAAUGGGGUGCAUGAGCAUGGUAAGUAGAAUGGGGGCCAUGGCAUUCUCCCAAAUUGAUGAUUUUGAAUUUGGAAUUGGUUUUGGAAAUUGUGUAACCUCAACCCACUUGCAUAAUUGGCUUUGAAACAUGGUUAAUUAUAUGGUUUGUAUUACUCUCCUAAACUAUUGCAUUGAAUAGAUGGUUAAGCAGAUAAAAAUGGUUUUUGAAAGUUCUUGUUGGCCGUGUUUUGACUUCAUUAAAAAUCAUGAGAGUCGGGGAAUUCCUCCAAGGUGAUGAAUAAAUGUAAUGGCAUAAUAAUAUUAGCUUGCAAGCGUAAUUGGUAUGACGAUACCAAUGGUAUAUGCCGUAAUGGAUGAUUCUUGGCUGAUGAAUGGAAAUGUUUAAACUUUUUUAAUUAGGCUUAAAGGGGGUUGUGUAGCUGGUCGUGAAGGUGGAGAUCCUGAGGGACUAAUACUGAAAACCCACAUUUGCCAGCAUAGGGGUUGGUCCUAAUGACCAUGUGCAUGUGCCACACUUUAUACAUAUUUUUGUAUCCUGGAUUGAUGUGGAGUGAGGGUAUUCCCUGGUCUUUCUUAAUACUUCCGGUUCAUGCUUAUAACAUACACUAGGGCCCUUCCUAUGGGGAAGCCGAACCCAUAUAGCCCAUGGAUGCCUUUUCUUGACAGUUAAUGCUACAAAGUCCAGACUAAUUUUUUAACUCUCAUGCUAAAUCUUGUUUCCUAUCCCGGUAUAUUAUUUAUUUAUAUAUAUAUAUAUAUAUAUAUAUAUAUAUAUAUAUAUUUGUAUAUGUGUGUGUAUUUGAUUGUGUGUAUUGGCUUGAAUGGUUUUAGACUGAUUGGAUCAUGGCAUUACUUUAUCCCUUUCCUAAGUUACAUGCUAGCACUCAUGUUGUAUCCCCAUACGAUGUAGGGUUUGGAGAUACUUCUGCUUUCUCUGUGCAAUGAUAGGUGAUCCCUGAAUUGUUCGUGAGUCAGCUUGAAGUGGUGAGCUUUAAUUUUCUGGAAGACCCUCAUUUCAUGGUCUUGUUUCAUUAUAUUUUAGAUUAUUCUUUUUUGGACUUAUUUUGGCUAUGGUCGGGGAUAUUGUCCCGACUUAGGUUGUUCGUGGUUAUUAGAGGCUUUGUGGAUUACUGUGGAUUGGGAUGAUUGUUGAAAUUCUUAGAUUUCUUUCUGUGUUAGUUAAGUUACCUAUCUUGUUAUAUGUUCGAAACUCAGCUCUAUCUUAUUAAAUGUUUGGAAUUCAUCCGCUACUAGUUUUAUUAUGUUUGGAUUAGCUAGGUUAAUGGGGUGGUUUCUGAUUCUUAGUGGACUUGAGAUAUCCAUCAUAGCCAGGCCCUUGUACGGGUUAUGAAAAGCUUGGUAUCAGAGCCUAGGUUCAUGGUCAUUGGGUGUCCACAAAACCAUGUCUAGUAUAGUCUCUUUUAUAGGUGUCUAGUGCACCACACUUAUAAGGGAGAGUCCACGAGACAUUUAGGAAUGUUUUUCUUUUUUGUGAUUAAUUUUUUUGGGGUUGUAGAAUGUAAGGUCUUGAAAUCUCCUCUAAUUUUAUAUUUGCAUUUCAAAUCAUGCCUCCCCAAAGAUCUGAUGCUCAUGGAAACUGCUCUAUUCCAUCUAGGGACAAUGUGGAUGGAACUCAUUCUACUUUUGGGUUAUAGACCCAGUCUAGGGUCCCUACUCUUGAUUUCCCUCGUGGAGUUCCACUGGUCCCUACCAGUCCUCCUCGCGCUUCUCAAGUUGAUGAUUCUCAUACCCCACCACCCGAAAGAGAUAUUUCUAAUGUCUAGUUCUAUCAAUCUAUUCAGCUGCUAACUCAAUUGGUUACUUUUUAGUCCUGUCAUCCUGACUGUGUAGGUUUUCAUUGCUCCAUCUUUUGAGGUUAAUAGAGUUGGCCAGUUCAUGAGGUUAAAUCCCCCAAACCUUACCUGCCUCUAAGGUUUAGGAGAAUCCUCAAGGGUUUGUCGAUGAAAUGAAAAAGAUAUCGGGGUGAUGUAUGCUAUUGAUGUGGGGGUAGAGUUUAUCGCAUAUCAGUUAAAGGAUGUGGCAUAUCAAUGGUAUGAAGAGUAGGAGCAGUCUAGGGAUGAUGAUACUAAGCAGGCUAUAUGAGUGACAUUUUUUGGCAAUUUCCUUGAUUGUUUCUUUCCUCAGGAGUUGAGGAAGGAUAAAGCUUAAAAGUUUGUGAACUUGAAGCAGGAAAAGAUGACUAUCAAGGAGUAUGUUUUAAAGUUCCACUAGCUAUCUCAUUAUGACCCAAAGAUUGUGUCUAGUUUGAGGGAAAGAAUGAGAAAGUUUGCUUCAAGUUUGUCUAAGGACUUAGUACUAGAGUGUAAGGUGAUAAUGUUGAAUAAUAACAUGGAUAUCUCUGGGUGUGUGAUAUAUAUGCAUAGGUUGAUGAUGAAAAAAAGAAACAAGUAGAAAUAGGAGAGAGGCAGAAUAAAAAGUUCAAGUAUUCAAAAUAGGGUGAAGGUCAAUAAGCUAGUGGUAGAGAUGGUAGGCAAUGGGGAAAGAAGAGACUUUAAAAACUUAUGGUCAUAUUCUACGGCUAGUUCUCCUUAUCCUAAGACACCUGGUGAUCGUCGCUUUCAGGCUGACAGUGGGUUUAAGACCUAGGGUUCCUAUACCUAAGCUAGUAGAGCUCAGUCAGCUUUAUUAUAUCCUUCUUGCAGAUUCUGAGGACAGAUGCAUCAUGGUUAUUAUGAUAAGGGAAGGAAUCUGUAUGUCAAAUGUGGCCAGCCUAGUCAUAUUAGGAGAAACUUCCCAUAAGCAAAUGUUUUUACUGGAGCUAAUAAGAUUUUGGUUUCUACUUCAUUAGCUCCUAUACCAAAGGAUGCUACUUCUGUUACCAGCACUGGUCAGAAUCGUCUUUAUGCUCUUGUCACUAUCAAGAAUCUGAGGCAUCUCUUGAUGUCAUCACUAGUAUGUUGAAACUUCUCUCGUGAUGCAUAUUAUCUGCUUAAUCCGGGUUCUACCCUUUCUUAUAUGACUACUUAUAUGGAUAUUCAUUUUAGUUUUGCUCCUGGGUGAAUUUUCGAUCCCUUUUCUUUGUCUACCCCGGUGGAUGAUUUUGUUGUGGAUAGAAGAUUUUAUAGGGGUUGUAUGGUAUCUAUUAGUAAUAGAGAGACAUUGGUGGAUCUGAUUAAACUAGAUAUGAUAGAUUUGGAUGUGAUCUCAAGGAUGGAUUGGCUCCAUUCUUGUUGUGCUUCUCAAAAUUUUUAGACUUGUAAGGUCAGUUUUCAAUUCCCAAAUAAACCGAUAAUAAAAUGGGAGGGAAGUUCCUUAGUUCCUAAAGGAAGGUUUAUUUUGUAUCUCAGAUCCCAAAAGAGGAUUUCUAAGGGGUGUCUAUGCCACCUAGUUCAGGUUAAAGAAUCUAGUUUUGAGGUUUUCUCUAGCAAUCUAUCCCUGUUGUUAACAAAUUUCCUAAAGUGCUUCCCAAUGAUCUUCCUGGUAUUCCUCCCGAUAGGAAUAUAGACUUUGGGAAUAAUCUUCUAUCGGAUACCCAUCCUAUCUCUAUCCCUCCAUAUAAAAUGGCUCCGACUGAGUUGAAAGAACUUAACGAGAAGCUAAAGAAUCUUUUUGAUAUAUGUUUCAUCCAUCCGAAUGUGUCCCCGUGGUGUGCUCUUGUACUCUUCGUGUGUAAGAAGAAAGGUUCCUUUCGAAUUUUUAUAGAUUUUCAGCAGCUAAAUAAGGUGAUGGUAAAGAAUAAGUAUCCUCUUCCUAGGAUAGUUGAUCUCUUUGACCAACUUUAGGGUGGUAGAUUUUUUUUUAAGAAUGAUCUUGGGUCGGGUUAUCGUCAGUUGAAGAUUAGGGAGGCGGAUAUCCCUAAGACUUCCCUUCAAACUCGAUAUGGUCAUUAUGCAUUUCUGAUGAUGUCAUUCAAAUUGACUAAUGCUCUGGCUGCAUUUAUAGAUCUCAUGAACUGUGUAUUUACAUAGUUCUUGGAUUUGUUUGUGAUUGUGUUUAUUAAUGAUAUCUUUGUAUAUUCUAAAAGUGAGGAGGAUCAGGCCAACCACCUCCAAGUAGUGUUUUGACUCUUAAAGAUUAGCGAUUGUAUGCCAAGUUUUCAAAGUGUGAGUUUUAGUUGGAAGUUAUGACCUUUCUAGAUCAUGUUGUUUCUAGUGAGGGAAUCAUGGUGGAUUCAUAGAAAGUUAAAAUGGUUAAAGAAUGGCCUAGACCCUCGACUCCAACUAACUUUCAGAGUUUUUUGGGUUUAGUCAGGUAUUACAAGAGGUUUGUGAAGAUAUUAUUUUCUAUUGUUACUCCAUUGAUGAAGUUAACUCAGAAAAAGGUGAAGUUUCUGUGGUCUGACGCUUGUGAGGGUAAUUUUGAGAAGUUGAAAGAUAAGUUGACUUCUACUCCAGUUAUGACCAGACUCGAAGGUACUGAUGGUCGUAUUAUGUACUAUGAUGCGUACUGUGUGGGACUGGGUUGUGUGUUGAUGCAGCAUGGUAAGGUUGUGGCUUAUACUUCUAGGCAACUGAAGUUUCAUGAAAGAAAUUAUCCAACUUAUGAAUUAGAGUUGGCAGUUGUGGUUUUUUCCUUAAAGAUUUGGCAUCAUUAUUUGUAUGAGGUUCACAUUGAUAUGUAUUUAGAUCAUUAAAGCUUGCAGUAUGUGUUCACCCAAAAGGAUUUGAAUCUCAGGCAAAGAAAAUGGCUUUCGUUGCUCAAGGACUAUGAAUUGAGUUUCCACUACCAUCCAGGUAAGGCUAAUAUGGUUAUUGAUGCUCUUAAAAGAUUGUCCAUGGGUAUCUUAUCUCAUGUAGAUGGGGAGAAUCAAGGAUUAUUAAAGGAUAUUCACCGGUUGGCUAAUCUUGGAGUUUAUCUUUGGGAUUCUAAGGAUGGAGGUGUGAUUGUACAAGAAGUGGUAAGGUCAUCUCUUAGUGCACAGGUGAAGGAGAAGUAGGUUUUGCAUUUGUCCUUAUGCAGAUUAAGGCUGAUAGGUAAGAAAUAGGUCAUGGCAUUUGAGAUUGGUGGAGAUGAUAUCUUGAGGUACCAAGAUAAAUUGUGUGUUCCUGAUAUUGAUGGGCUGCGAGAAAGGAUUUUGGCUGAGGCUCAUAAGUCGUGGUGUACAGUUUAUCCUAGUUCGAUGAAGAUGUAUCAUGACCAAAAAGGGAUUUAUUGGUGAAACAACAUGAAGAGAGAAAUGGCUAACUUCAUGGCUAAGUGCAUGGUUUAUCAGUAAGUGAAGGAUAAUCACUUGAGGCCCGAUGGGUUGUCUCAAGAAGUUGAGUUGCCCACAUGGAAAUGGGAAGUAUCAACAUGGAUUUUAUUAUUGGUAUUUUACGGUCUCAGAAUUAACAUAAUUUAAUUUGGGUCAUCGUGGAUAGAAAGACUAAGUCUGCUCACUUCUUGCCUAUGAGGACUACUUACUCUGAGGAGGAUUAUGCGAAGUUGUUUAACCAAAAGAUUGUCAAAUUGCAUGGUGCUCUAGUUUCCAUUAUUUUGGAUCAAGUACUUAGUUCUCUUCUCAUUUUUGGUAUUUGGUUUAGCAAGGCUUAGGAACACUAGUGAACCAUAGCACCGCAUUCCACCCCCCAAAUGGAUGGAUAAGCGAAAAGGACCAUUCAAACUUUAGAAGAUAAGCUAAGGGCCUCUGUGAUUAAUUAUGGUGGUAAUUGGGUUAAUCAUUUGCAUCUCAUCAAGUUCUCUUACAAUAAUAGUUAUCACUCUAGUAUUAGCAUGGCUUAUUUUGAAGCUCUUUAUAAUGGGAGGUGUAGAUCUGCUAUUGGAUGGUUUGAUGUUGGUGAGACUAGGUUAUUUGGUACUUAUUUGGUUUAUCAGGCUAUGGAGAAGAUGAAGAUGAUUCGAGAUAGGCUUAAGACUACUCAGAUUCAUCAAAAGUCCUAUGACUUAAGACUACUCAGAUUCAUCAAAAGUCCUAUGAAGAUGUAAAGCGAAGAGAAUUGGAGUUUGGGGUUGGCAAUUAGGUGUUCUUGAAGGUAUAUCCUAUAAAGAGAGUGAUGAGGUUUGGGAAGAAAGGGAAGCUUAGUCCCUGUUAUGUUAGUCCUUACUUAAUUUUAAAGAAAGUGGUGAAGAUUGCUUAUGAGUUAGAUUUUCCUUCGAGUUUGGGUUAUGUUCACCCGGUUUUCCAUGUUUUGAUAUUGAUGAAGUGCGUGGGUGAUGCUUAUUUGGUGGUGCGUAUUGAGGAUAUUGAUAUUUCGAAUUCCUUUUCUUGUGAGGAAAUCUCGAUGGAGAUUUUGGAUAGAAAAAUUCAUCAUUUGAGGACUAAAGAUGUGGUUUCAGUGAAGGUUCUAUGAAGGAACCAAAAGAUUGAAGAAGCUACAUAGAAAUCUAAAAAGGACAUGAAGUCCAAGUAUCCGUUCUUGUUUCCCCGAGUUGGAUAAUCAUGUGUAAGGUAUGGGUUUUCCUACUCUUUGUUUUCUAACUUUGUUAAAGGAAUUAUGGUUGUGUUUCUAUUUUACAAUCAUGCUAAUAGAUGUCUUGACUCCUCAUUUAGGGACGAAUGGUCCUAGGGAUGGGGUAAUAUAACACCUUAGAUUUCUUACCUCUAAAAAUUUCUUGAGUUUUGAGCUUGCUGCCUAAGCUAUGACUCACCUAACGAGUUGUAAGAUCUCCUUACGAGUCGCAGGCCUUAAUCUGUAGUAUGACCAGUGAGGUUGCCCAAGUUUUUGUCCUGAUCACAAUUAGUACCUAAUGAUUCAGUCGUAAAAAGUAGCAUGAUUCAACCUACUUGCAUAAUGCUUUGAACUAUGGUUAAUUAUAUGGUUUGGCUUACUCUUCUAAACAUUGCAUAGAUGGUUAAGCAGAUAAUAACGAUUUUGGAAAGGCCUUGUUGCACAUGUUUUGACUUAAUUAUAAAUCACGGGGGUCGGGGCAUUCCCCCAAAGAGAUAAAUAAUUGGAAUAGCAUAAUGAUAUUAGCAAUCGUAAUUGGUAUGGAGAUACCAAUAGUAUAUGCCAUAAUGGAUGAUUCUUGGUUGAUGAAUGAGAGUAUGUAAACUAUUUUAAUUGGUCUUAAAGUGGGUCAUAUAGCUGGCCGUGAAGGUGGGGUCCUGAGGGACUACUAUUAGAAACCCGCGUUUUCUAGCGUGGGUGUUGGUCCUAAUGACCGUGUGCAUGUGCCACACUUUAUACAUAUAUUUUUAUCAUGGAUUGACAUAGGGUUAGGGCAUUCUCUUGUUUUCCUUGAUACCUCUGGUUCAUGCAGCUAACACGCACUGGGGCCCUUUCGAUGGUGGGAGCCAGACCCAUAUAGCCCAUGGGUGCCUUUUCUUGACAGUUGAUGCUACACAGUCUAGGUUAUUAUUUUAACUGUCAUGCUAUACCUUGUUCCCUACUUGGCAUGUUAUAUAUAUAUGUAUAUGAUUUUAUGCAUUGGUUUUGAAUGGUCUUGAACUGACUAGAUCAUGGCAUUAUUUUAUCCCUUUCCUGAGUUACUUGCUAGCACUUACCCCAUUAACUGUCCUCGAAUAUUAUAAACCCACGUGAUACAAGGUUCGAAGACACUUCUGCUUUCCCUAUGCAGUGAUAGGUGAUCUCUGGGUUAUUCGUAAGUCGACUUAAAGUGGUGAUCUUCCAUUCUCCGGAAAACCCUCAUUUUAUGGUCUUGUUCCAUUUAUGUUUUAGACUAUUUUUUUUGGUCUCAUUUUGGCUAUGGUCGGGAGCAUGUCCCGACUUAGGUUGUUCGUGAUUAUUAGAGGCUUUUUGGAUUACUAUGGAUUAAGAUGGUUGUUGAAAUUCUUAGAUUCCUUUCUGAGUUAGUUGAGUUACCUAUCUUGUUAUAUUUUUGGAACUCUACUCUAUAUUUUUAUAUGUUUGGAAUUCAUCUACUGUUAGUUGUAUUAUGUUUGGUUGGCUAGGUUAAUAGAGGUGGUUUUCGGUCCUUGGUGGACUUGAGAUACUCGUCACGACCAGGCCCUGGUUUGGGUCAUAGCAUCUUGACUGCUUAUAAGUAUAGGCUCCAUAAUUUGGGCCUAGUGGAGACUCACAGGGUCAAUUACACUACUUUUUAGUUAGAUAUGAUAGCUCGACAUUGGUGGAGAGGUUAUCGUGAUUUCAGGCCAUAUGAAUCUCUCCUUAACAUGAAAUUAAUUCUCUGAGGUCUUCUAAGAGAAGUGUAUUCCUUGUCAACUUAAAAAAAGCCUCUGAGACCAGUUCUUAAGAUUAGAGCAGGGUUCUAUGACUAUCUUGGAGUAUGAGGCUUAGUUUCAUAAGUUGGCCAGGCAUGCUACUUCUAUCUUUUCGAUCGAGUAUGAGCAGACAUGGUGUUUUGGUUAGAAAUUAAGACUUUUUCUUUGUAUGGCUAUGUAGAGUUUGGUUGUCACUGAUAAAUCUUUUAUUGAGGUUUUUGAUGAAGCAUAGAUGAUGUAGGAGAUAUAUUAAGAGGCCCAAGGGGGCAGCAUUAAGAGGUCGUGUUAUCCGGGUAGCUUCAGUGGGAGCCGGAGCAGCUUACGAUUCAGAGGUAGAGGUUUUCAGGAUAGGUACCCUCCACACUAGUCUUAUCAGUAGUAGUGUCAGUCUAGUAGGCUCGUUCAUGCAGAACUUCAGCUUACUAAUGGGGGUCAGCCCCAGCUACAGAGAUUAUUAUGGCCAAAGUAGUGGAUAAUCUUCGAGAGAUGCACAUUCUGGGUUUUUUAGGUGAGAUGUCUAUUCUAAGUCGGUUGGAUCUUCAGGAUAAAAUUUUGUGUCAAGGGCGUGUUCUGAGUGUGGGGCUUUUGGUUAUUUCUUUAGAGAGUGUUCCUGAUAUGCGAUAGUUGUACCUAUAAUACAGUGCAUUCUACUGAUUAGGGUAAUACUUUCCCCAUCUAGAGGUGGUAUGCAGGAUCAUUGGGUUGGGCCCCAGAGUUCUCAUAGAGGUCCUCAAGUAGAUAGGACAGAUGAUCGGUCGGAUGCCUAUCCAAGUAGCAGGCAAGUUCAUCUUUAUGUUGUACUUAGUAGACCAAAGGCAGAGUCUUUAGAUGACGUUAUUACAGGUAUGAUCUUAAUAAGCCAUCAACCGACUUUUAUUUUAUUUUAUCCAGGAUCCACUUAUUCAACUUGCUUAUUGUACACCGCAUAGAGUUAUCUUGAGAUUCCUUAUUGUGCCAUUAUCUGUAUCUACUCUCGUGUGUGAUUUAUUAGUAGUGGACCAAGUUUAUAGAUCAUGUGUUGUGACUGUUUGAGAUUUUGAUACUUAGGAUGAUCUUAUUGUAUUAGAUAUGGUGAACUUUGAUAUGAUUUUGGGCAUGGACUGGUUAUCCCAUUAUUUUGUGGUCUUGGAUUAUUUUUCUAAAGUUGUCUUAGCUAUGCCUGACGUACCCCCUAUUGUGUGGCAGGUGUGCGUUGUGGGACUUAUUUUUUAUGUUUCGGAUAAGAGACUUAUAUUAAUGGUUUACGAGUCUUAUCUUGCUUAUAUUCACGACGAUAGUGCGGAGAGUCCUUCGCUUGACUCUAUUUUAUAGUCUGUGAGUUUUAUAAUAUCUUUCUUAUCAAUCUACUUAGUAUUUCUCCUGAGUGUGAUAUUGAAUUUAUUAUCGAUCUUAUAUUGGGCACCACUCUAUUAGUAUGGCACCUUACCAUAUGGCUCCUGUCGAGCUUAAGGGGCUAAUUCUUAAAUUCAAGAUUUUAUAGGUAAGGGUUUCGUUAGGCCAAGUAUGUCAUCUUGGGGUGCUCUUGUCUUGUUCUUAAAAAAAAAUGGUUCCUUGUGUAUGUGUAUUGAUUAUAGGUAGAUGAAUAAGGUGACUGUGAAUAUUGUGUAUCUUAUGCUAAGUAUUUAUGACUUGUUUGACCAACUUCAAGGAGCAGUAGUGUUCUCUAAGAUUGACUUGAGAUUUAGUUACCAUCGAUUGAGGAUUCGAGUUGAGUUCCUAUUGAUGUCUUUUGGGUUGACCAUUUCCCCAAUAAUGUUUAUGGAUUUUAUGAACUACAUGUUCAGACCUUAUUUAGACUCCUUCGUGAAUUGUGUUCAUCAAUGACAUUAUUAUGUAUUUGAGGAGUACGAAGGAGCAUAUGUAAUAUUUGGGGAUUGUGCUCCAAACUUUGAGAGAUCGUAGGCUUUUUGCCAAAUUCUAAAGUGUGAAUUCUGGCUCAAGUCAGUUAUAUUCCUUGGACAUAUAGUGUCUAAGGAUGGGAUCAUGGUGGAUCCGGCAAAGAUUGAGGCUAUUUGAAAUGUGGCCAUACCUACAUCAUUGUUUGAGGUUCGUAGUUUUAUUGGUUUGGCAAGGUACUACAUAUGGUUCAUUGAGGGUUUUGCUACUAUUACAGCAUUGAUGACCAGAUUGACCUAGAAGGAGGUUCCUUUCUAGUGGUCUGAGGAGUGUGAGUUGAGCUUUCGGAGGCUCAAGGAUUUUCUCACUUUAUCUCCUAUAUUGGCUAUUCUGUUGAGGGUGUGGGAUUCACCAUAUAUUGUGAUGCUUCUAGUGUUGGUCUGGUUGUGUUUUAGUGGAGCAGGGUCAAUUAUUGCUUAUGCAUUAAAGCAGCUGAAGGUGCAUGAGCGCAACUAUCCCACUCAUAAUCUGGAGUUAGCGAUAAUAGUUUUCUUGUUUAAGAUUUGGAGGCAUUAUUUGUAUGGCGUUCAUUAUGAGAUCUACACUGAUCAUCAUGGUCGUCAUAAUCUCAUGACUUAAAAAGAGCGUAAUUUGAGAAAGCGCAGAUGGAUAGAGUUGUUGAACGAUUAUGACAUCUCUAUUUUAUACCAUCCUUGUAAGGUGAAUGUUGUAGCAAACACCUUGAGCUAGAAGAUGGUGAGUAUGGGUAAUUUGGAUUCUAUUUCAAUUUUUGAGAGGCCAUAGGGGUGGUACUUCUAUUCCUUAGCUAACUUGAUGGUGCAACUUGAUAUUUCAGAUUCUAAGAGGAUCCUUGUUAGUGUUGAGGCUUAGUCUACCUUGUUUUAGCAGAUUUAGAAUCGUCAGUUUGAGGAUAGAUGACUUUAUAUCAUUCGUGAUCAGUUUCUGAGGGUGAGUCCGGGAGCGCUACUAUGGAUUCUGAGGGUGUUUUGCGAAUGAUGGUUGUAUUUUAGUUUCGAGGGUUAAAGACUUAGUUCAAUUGGUAUCAGAUGCUUGGCUGAAGGAUAUGCCUAUGACUAGUAUUACUCACUUGUCAUCUGUGGGUUCUGAUCAUUGUCCUUUGCUUUUGGAAAUGGAAGAGAGGGUGGAGUCGCGUACUAAAUAUUUUAAAUUUUUGGAUUGUUGGGUGGAUCAUCCCAUAUUCCUUCAAACAGUGGAGACUUGUUGGCAAAGACACUGUGAAGGUUCUCCUAGGUGGAGAUUUCAACAGAAGUUGAAAAGAUUAACUGCUACUCUAAGUCAGUGGUCUAAGGAGGUCUUUGGUGACAUCUAUGGUAAUGUAAAAAAUUAUGAAGAAAAUGUCAAGGUAGCUGAGGAAAAUUUGAUCUUACAUAGUACUGAUGAGAACAGACAGAAGUUUCAUAAAACACAAGCUGAAUACAUCAGACAUCUCAAGGUGGAGGAUGUUAUUUUAAGACCAAAAUCUCAUCUGCAUUGGUUUAAGUAUGGAGAUGCAAACUAUAGUUACUUCCAUGCUUUUAUCAAAGGGAGAAGAAGAAGAUUGUUCAUACACAAGGUCAAGAAUGAGGCAGGGGAUUGGAUCCAUGGGGAUGUUAAAAUAGCUGCAGCUGCAGUCACACAUCGUCAGAAUAUCCUUACUGGGACAGCAGAUUAUAUACCUGAGGAAAUGCCAGCUCAUAUUCCUAAAUUGAUAUCUGAAGAUCAAACUAACACUCUCCAGGCUAUUCCUACCCUGGAGAAAGUAAAAACUGUGGUCUUUUUAAUGAGUACUCAUUCAGCAGUAGGCCUUGAUGGUAUGAAUGGAAAAUUUUUCCAGGCUAUUCCUACCCUGGAGAAAGUAAAAACUGUGGUCUUUUUAAUGAGUACUCAUUCAGCAGUAGGCCCAAAAUUCUUUACUCAUACAUGUUUUAUUCUCCUUCCUAAAUUAUCCCACCCCAACAAACUUUCUGAAUAUAGGCCUAUCAACUUGAGCAACUUUACCAAUAAAGUCAUAUCUAAACUCAUUUACCUUAGGUUGAGAGGUAGGAAUAUUGUACAAAACAUGAUUCUUGCUCAAGAGGUCAUUGAGGGUAUUGAAAAACCAUUUGUGGGAGGUAAUGUAGUUAUUAAACUGGAUAUGGACAAGGCAUAUGACAGGGUGUCUUGGUCAUAUACUUGUCUGGUACUGAGAAGUUUUGGUUUUGGUAAGCCUAUAUUGAUAUGAUACGGAGGACAUUGUCAAACAACUGGUACUUAAUCUCUGUGAAUGGCACUAGAUAUGGAUUUUUUCACUCUACAAGAGGCUUGAAACAAGGUGAUCCUCUCUCCCUAACCUUGUUCAUUCUAGGGGCUGAAGUUCUAUCAAGAUCUCUAAACGACCUGCAUCAUCACCCUCAGUAUUAUGGUUUUCACAUGGAUAGGAAGGGACCCCAAAUUAAUCACCUCAUCUUUGCAGAUGAUAUCAUCAUAUUCACCACUGGAAGAAGAAACACUCUCAGGUUGGUUAUGAAGACUUUGGCUUCUUAUGAAAUAAUUUUUGGCCAACUAAUCAAUAAGGAUAAGAGUCACUUUCUUCUACCUGAUCAAGUCUUCCCUUCUACAGUCUCAAGGAUUAAAGAAGAAACUGGUUUUCAACAAAAACACAGCCCCCUUAUCUUGGUUGUCCCAUUUAUAUUGGAAGGCAAAGAAUCAGCCACUAUGCUGCCUAGUUAGAAAAUUGGCUUCAAGAAUCACAAGAUGGCAUUCUAAAUUGCUCAGCUAUGGUGGUAUAGUUGUACAAAUUAAACAUGUGUUGCUAUCUAUCCCUAUUCAUAUUCUCUCUGCUUGUAUCCCUCUAAAAACUAUUAUAAAAUAACUCUUGUCCCUAUUUGCUGACUUUUUUUUGUUGGAAAGAUAACAAGAAGAAAUAUCAUUGAGCAUCUUGGAAGGAGCUAUAUUUCCCAAUAGUAGAAGGUGGUGUUGGAGUUAGAUACAUUGUGAUACAUGUAAGGUUCCACAGCUGAAACAAUGGUGGAUAUUCAGAAGCAAUAACACUCUCUAGGGGGGAGUUUUUACUUGUAAAAUAUUGCAAAAAAGUGAAUGUUGUAGCUAAUAAAUGGAGCUCUGGGCAUUCUCUGGUGUGGAAAACUAUGAUGAAGAACAAAAAGAAAGCUGAGCAAUAUAUUUUAUAGAGGAUCAAAUCAGGUACUUGUUAUUUUUGGUGGGACAACUGGUCUGGACUGAGAGCACUCCAUAAUUACAGAACUGAUGGUGUAAGGUCAAGUAAUGUCAAAGUAGCAUCUUUCAUACUUGAUGGUAAGUGGAAUAUGAAGCAGUUAGCCACAGUACUUCCUCAUCCUCUGUUGCAAUCUAUUCUCAAAACUCCAUUCCAGUAUUAGGAAGGGGUCUCUGUUUUCGCACUUUAAACUCUAAAUCCAAGUGGUGAAUUCAAUUGUUCCUCUACUUGGGGGUUGACUAGAGAGCACAGAGACAUUACAUUGUUGAAUAGUUACAUAUGGCAAAGAUGGAUUCCUUUCAAAUGCUUAUUUUUUCUUUGGAGAGUGCUGAGAAAGAAAUUGCCUACAAAUGAGAGGCUUAGUCACUUUGGUAUAGCCCCUGUCAGCUGUGUAUGUUAUCCUACUUCUGGCUGGGACAAUAUUCUUCACACCUUUGUGGAGAAUCCAUUUGCUAAUCAUAUUUGGCAAUAUUUCUAUUCAACUAUGGGCCUUACCCAUAACUCUGCCUCAAUUAAAUACUUGUUGUUGCAGUGGUGGAAAACUAGAGUAGUUAAUAGAGCUCACAAAUUGGUGUUACAGGCUUUGUCAAUUAUCAUAUUUUGGAACUUGUGGAAGAACAGGUGUGCUAUUAAAUAUGGUGACAAACAACCCCAACUAGCCAGAGUUAAAUUUCUGAUAUACAAAGAUAUCUCCCUUCUGCUUAACACAGUUUUUCCUUCCAUCCCAUGGCCUUCUGGCUGGUCUAAACUGGUAGCCUAUAUUGAUAAAUAUAGACAAGAGACAAGAGACAGCAAUGUAUUGAUCUAAACCACUAGCUCUAAUAGUCAAACUGAAUUUUGAUGGUAGUACACUCACUAAUCCUGGAAGGAUUGGUGCAGGGGAUUAUUAGAAGUCAUAAGGGUGAGCUCAUCUAUGCUUAUGCUACUCCCCUAGGGCUUGGGACUAAUAACUAAGUAGAGGUGAAAGCUGUUAUAUGGGGCUUGUCUUUGUGCUUGAACAAUACUAUUCAGCAGGUUGUAAUGGAGGUUGACUCUGAACUCCUGAUCAGGUGGAUUAGGGGCCAAUUAUCAUUAUUCUGGAAUCUGUAGCCUCUUGUGGAUUCCUUACAGAAGCUCAUCUCACAAUUUCACUGUGCAUAUAUAUAUAUGUCUAUAGAGAAGCUAACUUUGUAGCAGAUGCUCUGUCCAAAGUCAGUCAUCAAAAUGACCAGCCACAAUAUUAUUUUCACAGCUGUCAGCUCCCACCAGAAGUUGCAAGAUAUUUCAAGCUUGAUCAAUUAGGCAUGCCAAUCUUCAGGAGAAGGAAGUUCACUUAGAUUAAUGAACCACCUUAGUGUGUAGACAAAACAGGAAAGAAGGCUUAGGCAAGUCAUACUAUUUUUUGCGUACUUGUACAUUACAUAUUCACAUAUUUUAGAUCACAUUUUCAUAUGAUGUAACACAUUUAUAGAUCAAGUUUAAGCCCCCUCUAUGUAUAAUUUUCUUGCAGUUUAAUGAAAACCCUGGGGGUGUUGCUCAGCCUUCAAAAAAUUCUUUAAAAGAAAACUCACCCUGGACAACUAAGAUGUAUAGGGAUUUGAGGCAACAUUAAUGGUGGAGUGGCAUGAAGAGAGAUGUAUUGGACUUUGUAGUUUGUUGCCUAUGUUUUUAGUAGGUAAAGGCUGAGCUUUAGAGGCUUGGUGGCUUAAUUCAGAGAUUUCCCAUUCCUGAGUAGAAUGGGAGUGGAUCACCAUGGACUUUGUUAGUGGGUUGCCUUGCUCUUCCCAUGGUUCUGAUGACAUUUGGGUUAUUAUAGAUCAAUUAACCAAAUUGGCACAGUUUCUUCCUAUUCAGAUAUCCUUCAGUCCGGGAGGUUGGCCUGUAUCUAUGUUCAUCUCCUGCAUGGAAUACCUAUAUCUAUUAUUUUAGAUAGGGGCUCAGUAUUCAAUUCUAGCUUCUAGAGGGAUUUUCAGGAGGAGUUGGGUACUUGGGUGGAUCUCAACACCACCUCUCACCCUCAGAAUGGCGGGCAGUAUGAAUGGACUAUUCAAGUUCAUAAGGGUAUGCUCAGAGCUUGUGUUAUAAACUUUGGAGGUUAGUAGGAGAAAUAUUUAGCAUUGGUGGAGUUCGCAUAUAAUAAUAGCUACCAUUUGAGAAUUAAGAUGACACCAUUUAAGGCAUAUAUGGUACGCAUUGUUGAUCUUUGAUAGGGUGGUUUAAGACCAUCGAGGUCACGCCCCGUGAUACUGACUUUCUUUAAAAGUUGUUUGAUAAAGUCAGGGUGAUUUAGGAUAAGCUGAGGGCAGCUCAGAGUAGGCAAAAGUCUUAUGCAAAUCGUAGGCUUCAUGCCUUGAGGAUUGGAGUUAGAUUCUGGAUAUUCCUUUGUAUGUCCCCCAUGAAGGGCGUGAUGAGGUUCGGGAGGAAAGAAAAUCUUAGCCCCAGGUAUAUUGGACCUUUUGAGAUACUUCACAUAGUUAGAGGGGGGGCUUAUAAGUUGGACUUGCCCGUAGAUUUUGCUAUUGUUCAUCAAGUUUUUCAUAUUUCCAUGUUGUGGCGUUAUAUUCCCGAUAAGUCACAUGUGCUUCGGUAGGCUCAGUCCGAUUAGAUGAGAGGUUGGCAUUUGUGGAUGAGCUGAUUCUCAUAUUAGCCAGGGAUGUCAGGCUGUUGCACUCUAUAAAGAUUCCAGUAGUUAAGAUUCAGUAGAGGCACUACCCAGUAGAGGAGGCUAAUAGGGAGAUCGGGAGCAAUAUGCAGGCCCAAUAUCCUCACCUGUUCGAGCCUUCAACUACAUCUAACCCUUUACUUUUGUAAACAAAAAUUCUUUUAGUAGUGGAUAUUGUAAUAACCCUCAGGGUUAUUUUCUACAUUUCCAUACUCUUUCAUUGUUUAGUGCUAACCUAUAGCUUCUUCAAGUCAUUUAUGACUUGCGGGAGCUAACAAUUCAAUUAUCGGGUAGUUCAUUUCAUUUUUAGAUCCAAUUCCAUAUUUUGAAGUUUUUGCUAGUAAAAAUUAGCCAUCAAACGUAAGCUUUAGGUUAAUGACCUCGUAUGCCAAUUUUGAUAGUACCAUCAAUUUUGAAACAUCAAUUUUAGUGUAGGGAGACCUUGGGUUCGGGUUCCAAGGCUUCAGGACUAAUUUUGGGCUAUUGGGCAAAAUUUAAUAAAAGUGGUCCUUGGGUGUGGGGCCUACAUUUUAUGAAACGAUCCUGGAUGGAUAUUUCAAUGGCUCCAUUGAGUUUGUAAUAUUGAAUUUGAUAUGGUAGCAUAGUACAUUUUCAUUCAUGGAAUUUCGAAUAGAUCCCGAUAGGUCAAUGGAAACUUGCAAAAUUUCAAGUUCAAAUGUUGCAUGGUCUUAGCUGGUGCAUUGUCUAAAUCGGACCUUUGGUUGCUUUAGUGGAGGCUGCUUUAGCAGCCAAGUAGUCAUUUUAGCAGCCAAGGCCAAUCCCGUCUUGGUCGCUUUAGCAUAACUCUUACUGAUAAAGGGAAUCGCUUAAGAGACAUCUUGCCCGCUUUAGCAAAGGGUGACCCGGGAUAGGGACCGCUUUAGAGGUAUUAUAUCGCUUAUGAGGUGACCACUUAAGUGGCACCUGUGAGGGAAUUUAUUUCAACCUAUUUUCUUCUAUUUAUCACAAGUCUCAAGAGUUAAAAAGCCCAAGAGAGAGUGAAAACUUGUGAGACUAAUCUUUGGGUGAUCGUGGGGUGUUGGUGAACUCGAAAUAAUCAUUUUUGUCAUAACACUUGUAAGUUUUUGUCUAAUUCUUGAGUAAAUUCUCUAAUUUAGUCAUAAAUCGCUAUCUCUUUGAUGGGUUGAUUUUGGUAUCAUUUGAACUCAAGAAUUACUCAUUCUUAAGGAUAAAUAUCCUUGAGUAUAGAGGGACAUGUUGACGGUUUCAAAAGUGCACUUCCAAAAGCUUCCCCAACAUGAGAUUCUAACUUAAUUUUUUGGAUCUGAAGCAUAAAAAUUUAAUAUGGCUAUUAUUGUUCCCGUAUUAAUGCUUAGAUCACUAUUUUGAUAGCGUGGCAUAGUGCGGAAGCUUCUCGAAAGGAAAGAUCACCAAUUUAGCGGACUUUAUCGGGCUUUCUUUGACUUCUAGAUAGGAUAGGUUUACCCUACUCUUAGAUUGGGUUUAAUAAUAGUAUCGAUAUAAUAUUAUGCUAGUUUUGGAUUGGGAAUUACAACUUGAUGACAUAUUUGGCAACUUUAGAUUGCUUAGCCGGUUAGUGAAUCGUGAUUAGGCAUAUUUAACUUAAUUACCCAUUCCUUAGGUUGAAUUGCUAUCUUACAACUCAAUGAGGCUUAUUUAACACCUUGUAGUAGGUUUUGGCACCGUAACCUAGUUGGGAUAUAAAUUUCCUUACAACGCACCUUUAGGGUUAGUAGUGGGUCCCUCUAUCCUAUCUUAGGCCAAGAUUACUAUUAGCUCCUUGUAGACUCAAUAGGCAUGUAUACAUCAUCUUAUUUAUAUUAUUGAGCCCGAAGGAAAUUUAGAUAUGUUAUGACUUAUCCUAUGCUUGUACUUGAGAAAUAUUAAGACCAUUUUGAGUCUGAUAAAUGAUGACAUUAAGACCGAUUCAAGUUCGGCAAUUAUGAUGACAUUAUCUUUCAGUUCAAGUCUGAUAUUCAUUAUAUUCAUGAUAUUAUUGUUUUUAUUUGAGUUUGGCAUUAAGAUGUUAUUUAUGAUGGUUAUGGAACCGAUUCAAGUCCAAUGUUUAUGUCAUGGGAAGAUACACGAUUACGGUAUUGAGGUUUGGGUACUUGGAAUAAUUACUGUCAUUAUUUUUUUUAUUGCAUCCACUGGUCUUAUGGGGGCUCGCAUUGGAGUAGUUACUUUCGUUUGCAUUUUCUAGAGCUUAUGGGGGCCCAAUUGUGUUAUAGAUAGUUGUGUCCUCUUGAAAUUCUUAAUUCGAUUGUUUACUUUCAAUAGUUAGAGUAUUAUUUUAGAUUUGCCCUUCUUCCCUAACUUAGCUUAUCACUUUGUAUUUUAUUAUAUUUAUAUUAUGAUUUAGCUCAAUCGGUCGAUGAUGCCUACUAAAUACCCGUUGCUUUGAUACUCAUACUACACCUUUGCAACCUUUUAGUGCAAAUUCGGGGUACUAUCUACCGUUGUUGACAUUGCGUUAGUGCUAGUCAGAGUUUGGAGAUAGGGUGAGCUCUUGGAUCUAGAGUUGACUUUUUCUCCAUCUUCUAUUUUGGAUGAUCUUUCAUUCCGAGACUAUUGUAUAGUUGAUAUUGAUAGUACUCUUAUUCUUUUGUUAAAGGCUCUUGUACCGACCUUACUACGUCGUGGGAUAUUGUUACUUUUUUUCCCUUCGGUCAUGUUAUUACUCUUGUGCUUUAUGACUUGUAACCUAAUCACUUGUGUAUUUAUAAUAUUUAUACUAUUUUCCAUUAAUUAACCCAUUACAUGUUAUUUCGGGUUACGAUUUAGCUUACCUGAUGGUGGAAUAAAGUAGGUGUCAUCAUGACUCGUUAAAGCGAAUCAUGACACUUCACUUAUGUCGUUAUGCGUAACCAUAUCAUUAUUGAAAUCACUAUUGCUGAAAUCACUAAGACCUGCAAGGGCAUAAAAUACGUGCUCCAAAGUUUGAGCUAUCAGGCCGCUUCAGGUAAAACAUCCUAUUGAGGAUAACAAUCCACAUGUAGCAAACAAAUGUCUUUUAGUGAAGUUUUGGCGAUCAGCUCAAAAUCUCAUCUAAACAUUCUCAAAAUUUAGCUAUGAGCUCUUUUAGAUAUUUCAAGUUUUUUAAUAGAAUAUUCACUCAAAACAGUUCACAUUUACGAAAUGUCAAAUUUUAUAAUCGAGCAUUCAAAAAGUUUAAUAAUUGAACAUAAAAGAAGGAGGAGGAGGAAGAAGAAGAAGAUGAAGAAGAAACCAUUAAUGGAAGAGCAAAAUGGGAGAAAAGAAGAAAAGGAAAUAAAAGCAGAAAGGUCAAUUUUGAUAAAUAAUAUGGCUAACUAAUGUAAUAGAUAGCUCAUUUUUUUCAAGUGAGCUAUUUUCUGUGUAAAAAAUUUAAGUCAUAUUUGAUAUAAUUAUGCCUUUCAAAAAUAGAAUCUGCGAUCAAACUAUGCCAUCCAUUUAAAAAAAGUACCAAAAUAUGUCAUAAUUUUAAGUAGUUAUCAAGAUAGGCUUAACUCACUAAAAAAGUGAGUUAUGCCUUAUUUUUUUAACGACAGUUUGACUGACGUCGUCAUUUUAAUAAAAAGUGUAUAACUUAUUUUUUUUGUGAGUUAUCCUUUUUAUUUUUACAUAACUCACCAAAAAAGUGAGGUAUAUAUAUAACUCACUUUUUUUGUGAGUUAUAUCAAUGAAAGUUAUAUAACUCACUUUUUUGUGAGUUAUUCUUUUUUGUUUUAGCAUAACUCACAAAAAAAAUGAGUUAUAUAUUGAAUAUAAAAAGACUUUCCCUUUUUCUCGAUUUACCUUUUUUGUUUAUACCUUUUCACAUAUAUUAUGCAUAUUAAUAGGGAGAGAGAGUAAAGUAAUUAAAAAGGUGAGAGAGAGUGCGAUGUAUAUGUCGGUUAUGUUAUGCAUAUUAAUAGGGAGAGAGAGUAAAGUAAUUAAAAAGGUGAGAGAGAGUGUAAUUACUUCCAAAAGGAUUGGUAUUUAUGUUAUUUAUACUUUUUUUAAUAUAUUUUAAUUUUAUAAAGUUCACUAAUUAUGUCAGUCAUGCGACCUCUAUUUUUAUUUUAUAAAACUAUUAUAUGCCUCUAUGUUUAUCGUAUAAAACUCACUAAUUAUGUGAGUUACUCAAAUAUAAAAUUAGUAACUCACUUUUUAAGUGUGUUAUCCAUUUUACACAUGUCAAUGUGAAAUAUGAAUAUAACUUUAAAAAUAUGUGAGUUAUAUGCACAACUUUAUUAGUGAUGUGAAAUAUUAAUAUGGUGCUAAAAAUAUAUGAGUUAUGCAAAACAAAUUAUAUACUAUACAGCUAGACAUGAGGAUGAAAUCUAUACAAAUUAAUUGUUAUAUACUAUACAACUAAAAUCUUCUUUUAAGAAAAAAAACACAUAGAGAAACUUGUUACAUCUACUUUUAAAAUAUAUCGUAUUGAGUUGUCCAUCAAAAAUGUCAGUUAGACAAAAAAAGUAUAAUAUUUAAAAAAGUGUAAAACGCACAAAAAAGUGAGGUAUCCUUCUUAUUUCUAUGAAACUCACAUAUUGUGUGAGUUUAUAUAUAUAUAUAUAUAUAUAUAUAUAUAUAUAUAUAUUACAAAACUCACAUUUUAAAUGAGUUAUCUAUUUCUAUUUUAUAAAACUCACUAAUUAUGUGAGUUAUUCAGUAUAUUUUAUCAUAUACCUCUAUUUUUAUCAUAUAAAACUCACUAUUUAAGUGAGUUAUCUAUUAUGUGAAUAUAGUUCUAAAAAUAUAUGAGUUAUGUAAACACCUAAUUUUUGACCAAAACCUAAUGUUUUACGUCAUUUUUAGUGUUUAAUAUAUAUAUGUAUUUUAUUUUUUAGGUCUAAGUUAGAUAUUUCAAUUUUAUCUUAGUUUAACAAAGUUUAUUUUAAAAAUUUUGAAAACUACAAAAAUAGAGUCACAUUUUUAAAUAAGUUUUUAUUUUAUUGUUUAUUUAUUUAUAUAUUUUAGGAAAAAGGAAAUUUUCUAAAUUAUAUUUGUUUUCUUCUUUUAACUUUUAAUAAAUAAUCUAAUGAUUGUAGUAUUAUUUUAAUCAUAUUUCUAAGACUAGUUAUUAACUUAUUNNNNNNNNNNNNNNNNNNNNNNNNNNNNNNNNNNNNNNNNNNNNNNNNNNNNNNNNNNNNNNNNNNNNNNNNNNNNNNNNNNNNNNNNNNNNNNNNNNNNNNNNNNNNNNNNNNNNNNNNNNNNNNNNNNNNNNNNNNNNNNAAAAAGAGACCUAAACUACCCAAACCACCCCACAAUUCCCACUUCCACUUAACCUCUCCCACUUUUCCUCCACACAACCCACGACACACACACAUGCACUUCUAUAUAGAUAAACACACGCACUACAUCAAGGGGAGAUUACAGAGGAGAGAAAUAGGAACACAGGAAAAAAAAACACAGAAAGAGAGAGGGAGGAAAAGUAAGAAAAGAGAGAAAACAAAGAAGGAUAAGCAGCAAUGGAGAAAGGGACAAGAACACUUGAUGAAGAAUAUAAAAAACCAUAGCAGAAAAGGAAAAUAAAGGAAGAGAGUUCGGGUUUGAGUUCGGGAUCUCCGUUUGAGUUUUCGGUAACGGCAUUCUUGCUUCUAUACUGAAUUUAUUUCAUCACACGGGUUUUUAUCCAACUCAGUAUCAUUAUUUUUUAUAAGUUUUAUUGAGGAUCAAAGCAUAAAUAACGUUAUUUAUAUUAUUUAUGUGCUAUUCAUGUUUAAAACUCGAUUACGUUAAAUAAUUUAUCUUUUAUUAUCUUUACUUAGAUACCAUUAAUCUCUAUAUUUGUAAAUUAUAAAUAUGUUAAGAAGUUAAUGAGUUGAUAAAGAAAAACUAAACAUGAUGCAUUGACUAAUCGUGGGUUUUGAUUGUUAGACUAAAAUAAAAGAAGUCAUGUUAAUCAAUAAAAGGUGGCUUUAAUUUGUUGUUUCUUUAUCUUUUUGUGAACAAAAUACGGUAUUUAAAUUUAUUUAGAAUUUUAUUAUAGGUAACUUAAUUUGAUUCAAAGUCUAAAAUUUUCAAAAGUUAACAUGAAGGUCUUAAAUCUAUUUUAGUGAUCAAUAUACAUCACUGUCACUUUGUGAAAAAUAUUGUUAGUGUUUGCACGCUAUGGUAUAUUUUGCUGCAGAGGCUAUUAUUUCUUUUGUAUUAAUAGAAGUUGGUAGGGAGGGGAUUGGAGGAUUAACCGAAGGUUCAUAUGUUCAUUUUCAUGCAUGUCUACCCAUUAUUAUAAAUUGAUNNNNNNNNNNNNNNNNNNNNNNNNNNNNNNNNNNNNNNNNNNNNNNNNNNNNNNNNNNNNNNNNNNNNNNNNNNNNNNNNNNNNNNNNNNNNNNNNNNNNNNNNNNNNNNNNNNNNNNNNNNNNNNNNNNNNNNNNNNNNNNNNNNNNNNNNNNNNNNNNNNNNNNNNNNNNNNNNNNNNNNNNNNNNNNNNNNNNNNNNNNNNNNNNNNNNNNNNNNNNNNNNNNNNNNNNNNNNNNNNNNAAAUAUUUUGUAAAAUAUUCAAUUUAAAGUUUUGGGUGAAUAUCAAAAUUACAACAGAUGUCUAUCUUAGUAUGUUUUAUUAAUACUUUAGACUAAGACCAAUCUUAUGAUCUAAUUACCAAUCAAUCGUAGAAAAUAAGUGAAAUGGAUCGCGGAUUUAUCUAAGAUCCAUCAUAAAUUAUAAAAUAAAAGAGAGGAAAAAUCUAUGGUAAGGGAGUGAAUUCAUAAAAUAACGAUUUAGGUUCUUAGCCUCUAAAUAAUUAAUAUUUAAUAUACAAGUGAAAAUUAACGAUGAAGUUGGAAAGCCCUGCUACCGACCAUUCGUUGUAGUAAAUUAACCUACCGUUUGAAGCCGAUUGAAUUGGGUUGGGUAGAUUUUAAACGUAUUAGGUGCUUAUUUAGACUUUGAAAAAUAGAGCGAUCCAAAAAAGCCUCAAAGGCGGGAGAAAUACACCAAAACUCGUGGUAAGACCAAAAAGUACUACUAUCGGUAAGCCACACAUCAAUACAGUUUUAAAUAUAUUCAUAAAUAAAUAGAAGUAGUAUAGAAGUAAAUUUUAGGCUAACAAAUAUUGUAUAUCCAAGAGAUUAAUUUAAGCCAGAUUUAAGUCAUUAAAAGUUAUGUAAUAACUUUUUCCACUAGCUUUCAAAGUUCUCCUUUUUAAACAGAUGUAUACAUUCAUUCUUUGUUCACUCAACUCUUCUAUUAUAAUUCAAUUAUUCUUUUUCAAACUUGUUCAAAUCCAAUUUUUCUUUUCAAAACUUAAUCAAAUCUUAAAGAAUAAAUUCUAAACAUGUUAAAGUUGUAUUUUUGGGACAACGAAAUUAUUCACGAGGGAAAUACAAUAUAUUAUAGUAUUUUCCUAAAGUCCAAUGCCAAGUUUCCAAUUUCAAUUAGUUACAGAGAAUUUAUAGAAUCAAUAUUUAGAAGAAUGAAAAUAAAAAGUGAUGAUUUUGAUUUAUUUAUAUUUGGACAGUAUCCAAAUUUCGUCUCAUCACAAGGAUUGGUAAAUUAUAAAAAAUGGAUUAUCUGUGACGAUAUAAAUAUGGAGAUUUUAGUUGUAUUGCAUAUUAAAAUUAAUUUGUAUAUACUCCAUCCUCACGUCUAGUUGUAUAUUAUAGAAUUUAUUUUACAUAACUCAUAUAUUUUUGGCACCAUAUUAAUAUUUUACAUCACUAAUAAAGUUGCACACAUAACUCACAUAUUUUUAAAUUUAUAUUCAUAUUUCACAUUGACAUGUGUAAAAUGGAUAACAGACUUAAAAGAUGAGUUCCUUAUUAUAUAUUUGAAUAACCCACAUAAUUACUGAGUUUUAUAUGAUAAAAAUAGAGGCAUAUAGUAAUUUUAUAAGAUAAAAACAGACUCAUAUUUCUUUUAUUUCAUAUUUCUAUGAUAUCUAUGUUAUUAUUGCUUAUUCCUUAUUUAUGUUAUGUCAUUCAUCCUGCUUCAUGUUUCACUAAGAUCUUGUGUACUAUUCUCUAGCCUGAGCCAAGGGUCUAUCGAAAAUAGUCUCUCUACUUUUUUGUAGGUAGUGGUAUGGACUGCGUACAUUUUACCCUCCCCAUACCUCACUUUGUGGGAAUACACCGGGUCUGUUGUUGUUGUUGUAUAAAACUAGAGGCUGCAUAACUCACAUAAUUGGUGAGAUUUAUAAAAAAACUAAGAUAAAUUAAAAAAAAAAAAAAAAAAGAGAGAAAAUGGUCUAAAAUCCCUUCAACCUAUACUCAAAAUUUUAACUACACACUCCAACUUCACGGGAGUCCUAUGACCCCCCUAAACUGUUUUAAAUUGAAAUUAUUACCUCCCUAAAUGCUUACGUGGCAAGGUGAGUAUAAUACACUCUCUUUGAGAGAGCGAGCACUGAAAUAAAUUAUUAAAUUUUUAUUUUCAAUAUUUUCUUCAUUAUAUAUGUAUUUUUAAUUUUUUAUUUUUUAUUAUUUUCUUUCUUCCUGAUAACAACAUAGACGAAUUUCUCCACCUCUCACCAUGCUAUUGCUAUUGUCGUCGCCAACAUCUCCGCGCACUUUCUUUCAUCCUCAUAGCAAUAUAGAUAAAUUUCUCCACCUCUCACCAUGUCAUUGCUAUUACCGCUGCCACCAUCUCCACGCACUAAAUUUAUCAAGAAACUUUAUGAUUUUUCUUAAUUCAUAAAUUUUGAUUUUUUAAUUAUGUAUGGAAUGAGGAAAUUUUGGAAACCUGCUCUCUGCUGAUUUAUUGGAGAUGUUAAUCAUUCUUUUACAUGUCAAAUUCUAUUCUUUGUUCUUCGGUACUUCAAUUUGUCAAUUUUAAUUGAAAUUCAUUUAAGAAAAAAAUUCUACAAACCCAUAUGUAAUUUUGAGAUGAAUGUAAAAAUGAAAAGGUCAAUAUUUAUGCUUCAGGUAGUAGCAUCCAUUGCCCCAAAUUGAGCAAAUUAACAAUGCAUUCAUGAAAAUAAUUUCUUGUUUUUUUGAUAUUAAAAGAUUAAUUUUUUUCUUCAACCCCAUUUAAUGAUUUUGUAUUUUUAGCAAUACCCAUUAAUAUAUUUUGUUCAAAUUCAUUACUAAAAGAAGAUUCUUAUUUAGAUUUUUUAAAAAUUUGGCCUAUUUUUGCAUUUCUAGCUAUUAGUAGAACUUUGAUGUUGUUUUAAUGGUUGAAAAUGGUGGAAGGUGAUGAAAUGAAGAAGAAUGGGAAAUAAAGUAAAUAAAAAAUAAUUUUAAAUAUUAAUUACACUUGUUAAAUAUGAGUUGGCGCGUGUAUUUCACUCCCCACUCAAAAUGUGGGUAUAGCAUUUCAAGAAAAAAUUAAUUUCACUUUAAAAUAGUCCAAGAGGGUAAUAGGACUCCCGCAAAGUAUAAAUGUGUAGUUGGUAAUUGAAUGAUAGAUUGGGGAAGGGGGGAGGGCAUUUGACCAUUUCUCAAAAAAAAAAAAAAUAUGCGAAAAGAUACACAUGAAAAAGGUAAACCGAGAAAAGGGAAAAGUUUUUUUAUAUUUAAUCUACAACUCAUUUUUUGUGAGUUAUGUUCAAACAAAAAAGAAUAACUCAGUGAAAAGCGAGUUAUAUUACUUUCAUUAAUACAACUCAUAAAAUAGUGAGCUACAUGUAUACCUCACUUUUUUGUGAAUUAUGUACAAAUAAAUAUUGACACUCAAUUUUAACCUCCCGAUACUCCUAUUAAGCUUCUACUUUAUCAAAAUCAUUUAAUUUUAAAUGCUAAUAUUUGUUACGCAUUAUUCGUAUAUCAUAUAAAUAAAGAAGUGCCACAUUUAUUAUUUUAAACAUUUACAAAUUAUUUUUAAUUCUUUAUUUUUUCUAUAAUUUAUUAAUUUAAAUAUAAUAUUUUACACAAUUUUAUCAUUUUUCGUAAAUAUGCAUACUCACAAUUUACAAAUGCAUUAUCCAGUUCCAUUUAUUAUUAUUAUUAUUAUUAUUAUUAUUACAUAACAUUAAUUUAUUUUAAUUAAACGUCUCAUUAUUAUUGUUAUUACUAAAUUUAAUAAACUAGCAAUCACUUUUAUUCAAUUUCCCUCUCUUGUAUUUAAUUGCUAGCCAAUUUUUUAUCCUAAUUGAUGUCAAUUUUAGUCAGAUUCAUACUCUUUUAAAUUCAAAUUAAAUUACAAUUUUUGGACCAUCUUUUAAACCCUUUUAAUCCCAGCCAUGGAUCAAAAUUAAUCUAGUGGCUGAGAUCAAAUAUCUCACUCUCUUCUUUUAAACAAAACCUAAACUCUAAACCCAUAUUCUCCCAAAAACAGUCGCACCUCACAAGUUUUCUCUCUCUUCUUCCAUGCUCUCUCACUCUAAACAACCACCAAUGACCACUGCUCCUUCCAUCAGCCAUAAAUGCCGCCGGCUAUCCCAUCACCGGCGAACUCCCUUGUCCUUUCUCUCAUCGUCGCGUCCCUUCCAACAACCAAAAUCAGCCGCACGCCACCAUCAGCCCUCAAACCACGUCAUCGCCGGUGAAACACGAUGGAUUCAUAGCGAAUCCUUCCAGGUUUGUACCCCAUUUAAUUUCGUGUCCCAAAUUAACAUUGUUAUCUUCUUCUCGUUCUUUCCUUUGACAGAUUAUUAAAUUUGAAAUUAGUAACAGUUGAUUUUGAUUUUUGAUUCAUCCAAUUUCGUAUUUUCUUGCAUUCUUUAAUUAACAUAUGGAUUACUGUUAGACCUAAUUUUGCAUAGAAAAGGUGCUCGUGGCUUGUUGAAUUCAUUCAUCGUUAUUACGUGUCAUAAUUUUGGGUAUGCCAAUAAGUAUUGUUACUAUUGUUUACUUGAAAUUCAUACGCGUGAUUGCUAUUAAACUGAUGUAAUUGACACCAAUGUUAAAAGUAUUUGGUUUCACUAUGAAUGGCUUGGUAAUAUAUUUGUCCUUCUCUGAUGAUUGGAACAAUUAAUUCCAUUGAUUGAAUAUUUUUUCCUUUUUUAGCUUAAUUGAUUCUGACACUUCUAAAAAGAUUUUGCCAAAUUAAUAAUUCUCCUCUUUUUGUAGUUAUGGUAAUGAUUUGCCUUAAUUUGUAAGCAUGUUAGAAAGUAAAUUUGAAUUGAUUGAUAAUUUCUCUUCCUUUUAUUUAUUUUGACUGUUAAUAUUACUAAGUUUGUUCUUUAUAUUUAAGGAAAUUUGGUUGAUUGAUUAGAUCAAAUAUUUUCUCUGUUGAUUGAUACUUGUCUUCCUUUUAAUGUUUUUGGACUAAUUUUAAAUUACUUAACUAAUAUAAGUGUGAUAUUUAUAUUUAGGAAAAAUUUCAUUGAUUGAUUGACUGAUUUUAUUUUCCCUUAAUUGAUUGACAAAAGAUAUUCUUUUUUCUUUAUUUGUUGACUCUUUUACUAUAUAAACAACACCUUUUCUGAUUAUUUAGACAACUUUUAACAUAUUCUCCCACUUCCUAUACAAAAACUCCCUGACUUCUAUAUUCUUCUACACUAUAUUUAAGUACUAAGUUUCACUUGUUGUUACUUUGAGAGACGUCUGAUUCUUGCUUGUUGUUACAAUUAUUCAUCCACUCUGAGUUAAAUUUGUUUUGUCAAUUGGUGUUAACCAGUUAAUUUUCUCUAGCCAUGCAUUAGUUCUUUUAUAUCAUUCUAUGUGAGCGUGUUUUUAUUAAUUAAAAUACUUGAUGUCAUAUGCCUUCUAUUUGUUUUAUACGCCUUUAUGACUUAUUGUGUUCAUAUGAGUAGUUGCUUUUGUCAAUACAACAUGUUUUCUCUUGUUGUUAAAUAUUUUUCCCACUAGAAUGUUUGUUGUUUGUGAACCUGAAAAAAUCUUUGCGCGUCACAUAACCCCUUUGGCGUGAACCUGCCUGGGAUCCCGGAUAUCCUUAGGAUCUCGACAGCGCCAAGGUUUGGUUAUCUAUCGCCAAAGGUAUAUUUCAAAUUUGGAAUGUGGUUUCGGUGUUUUCUUUAUGUUCACAGAUUAAAGACAACGGUUAGAUGAGACGGAGUCGCCAUGGAUUUAAGUCACUAAAGGCUAUCUAACCUAGCCCUUCUUAGUUUUUAUUUCAUUAUUGUUGCUUUGUAACAAUUAUUGUUCAACUCUAUGACAAUAAUAAUGAAAUUAUGGGACUGCUCGGCGGCGGAAAAUUAAGUGUUUAUGUACCACGUGAACUAUUUAGGCAAAAAAACCUAGAAUUCGUUAAUUUAUUGGUUAUCUAGGCAAAUCUAAUUUAUGUCUUAUUAGUUGAUCCGUCUAGAAAUCAUAUUUUUUUAGGAGUUUAAUUAAUAUCCACCUUAUUAAAUCAUAUUUGAAUAUGACAAUUUAAUUUACAACAUGUUUAUUGAUUGUUGCAUGUUUAACAAUUGUGGAUAUAUCACAAAUGACAUUCUUAGCAUUUUAAAUUACUCUUUCAACAAUUAUACUCUUAGCAUUCAAAAUAACAUUUUUUGGCAUUUUAAAUAAUAUUUUCUACAUAUUAAAAUUAAUUUCCAGCACAUAAAUUAAUUUGCAGCAUUUUAAAAUAAUAUUUUUGGCACACUAUAAUUAAUUUUCAGCAUUUCUAUUUGUCUUUUCAUUAAUUUCUGCUUAGUAAAAUAAUUUUCAGCAUCUAUAUAUUAAAAAAAUGACUUUAUUUCUCUAUCAAAGUCAUGGUACGGCUUUUGACUUUCACAAUUUAAACUAGACAUGACAUUUUACUUUUUGUACUAUCUCCUAACCUAUAGUUUGCGGGAAAGUAAAAGAAUCACGAGAUCUGAUUUUCAUAUUUUAAAUUAAUUUGAUACAAUUCCUGGAGCACCACGUACCAAAAAGUUUCAAAAAGCAAAGACUAUGCAUACAUACAUAAAUAUUUUUAUUUUAUUUUUGUACUUGUCUGUAAAAUUAUUAUGUUAUUAUUUUUACAUAAAACCGACCUCUAAUUAAAAUUGUUGCCAAGUUGAACGAGCACGAUUAAUGAUAUCGUGACAUCAUUUCUAUAAAGCAACAAAUAUUUUUUAAAAGAAACAAAAAUUCUUUUUUAAGGUUUUGAAUAUUAUUCCUCUAUCAAAAUAAGUUAGUUACUGUGUAUUUUUCUUAUUUUUUUAUUUGGGGUAGUUUAAAAUUUUUCCUUUGCUUAAUAAUUUUUGUUAUAAUUUAUAUCACUUCUUUCUUCUCGCUUGUCUUAUUUUUAUACUUUAUCACUCAGAUGAUUAAUAGAUAAAAUAAAUAAGUUAAAUGUUUGCUAAUUUCUUUAUCACUUAGCUAAACAGUAAAUUAAUAAAAUAAGAGACUUUAUUUGAUCGCGUAGAUCCCCACGUAAAAUACGAAUUCGGCCGAAAACCACCUUUGUUGACCUCGAAAGGUGCCUAACAACUUCUUUUCGAGGUAAUUUGAACUCUUACCUGAAUUUCUGGUGAACUAAGACAAAAUAACAAAAUAGGUUCGUAGUUGGCCUAGACCGGUGCCCUAACGCACCUUAAUUCGUUAGGUGGCAACUCUUCACACUCUUCUUUAAACAAUUCCAAAAAGAGUUUGUUACGUCGAAUCCCGUUUCCCGCAAACAAAAUGAGGUGCGACAGAAUGGCGACUCUGUUGGGGACCUUAGGUUCUAACCAUUAUGAGUUUCUAUUUUAUGUGGGAUUCUAUUAUCUUUUGUUGUUUUGUUUCGUAGUAAUUGCUUUAUCUCUUUUCCCUUUUAUUGCAUAUAUCAUGUUUUAUGUUUACGUGUUAGCCCCUCCACCCUCUCCCUUUUAUGUGUUUUUAUCGAUAUAUAUCCCUUCCGCACUUUCCCUUUUUAUGUGCUUUGAUGUUUAUUUAUUUUUAUAUUUCUAAAGCAUGUUAUCGUAUGUUGCUAUGUGCUACGUUUUACCUCUUUAUAUAAUUAGCAUCCCGCUCAUACUUUCCUCCACUUGGAGCCUCCUUUAUUUUCUUUUACAAACGAUUGCGUGGUUGCAUGGACGUUCUUUCCUAAAACACCUUUCGAUAACUGCCUUGUGGGUCGGUCGAUCAACAGUGCAUUGACAGCCACAAGCUUUCCCACUCCCAAGUUGUCCGCUCGAGAGAACCAUGUCAUAAAUCCACUCUUGCCCUUUAGGGCUUGGCUACAUAUUUAUUUUCUUAAGGAAUAUGCAUCCCAUUCAAUGUAGGAUGCUUUGACAUCCUUAACACGUUGAAUAUUAGUCUCAUUCAAAGUCCAAAGAGUUUCACGACCUCAAAGGGACUCACCAUUAUUUGCUAUGUGUUGCAUUUCUAUGUAUAUCUUGUUAUUUUCGUUCUUUCCUUAGUCACUCCUUACAUUUAGUGUUUCUCUUUACUCUUAAAAUUCCUAUCAUGUUAGGAUCCUACCAUACACUCUUAGGGCCUAUUCGAAACUUCCCUUUAAUUUUCCCUCUCUUUAUUCAUCCGUUAGUAUACUAAUCAUCUCUAGGCUCAACUCUUGCUAUGAUAAAAGGUUUUAGUCUUAUUCACAAUCUUUUAGUACAACCUAUCAUUUAGGAAAUGCUUUUCCUAAUUCUUCUAAUGUUUACAUACCGUUGUCCCACCAUGAUUAUCGGAUAUUAAUAUUGUCAUAUUCAUGUCAUACUGUAACUUUCACAACCUCUAAGUUACAUAGAGCUCUCAUAACGUCUAUUUACUCCAAAUGAGCAUAGCUUAUUCUUUUCAAAUGAGUAGGAUAUUCAUUCUAGACUCCCGUACGUACUCUUUAUUUCUAAUCGUAAGUUCUUUCUUCUAAGGUUGACUAGAGUUGAACAUCAGAAAUGGCCAGUCAAGUAAGGUUUAUCGAUCUUGUCAAUAGCGACGAUGAGCAUGAGAAUUUGCGGUUGCGUCAAAAUAAAGUUAUUUCAAACAUCAGAAGGAUAGAAGGAAACAUAGAGAGAAUUAGGGGGAUAAUGUCUGAUCUCCAAGGUUCAGCUGAGAUGCCAUCAGAUUUUCCAGAGCCACUAUCCAAAACUGACUUCAUUGCUCCCACCUACACCAUGUCAUCUCCUAUAUUGACAAUCUUACCCACGCCUAAUUUUGGGGCACAAAGGUCUUCAAGUCGGUAUUCAGUUGCAUAGCUGAAAGCACUCAAUGGGUUGACCACUAUGGAUAAGGAAAAAAAAAUGAAAGGACAAAUUCCUAACCAUAAGGCAGGGUCAUCUCAACAGCCUGAGAUGAAUAAGCCGCCCAAAGCUAAGGAGGAAGACAAAGAUAAGAUUGAGGACCUGAACUUUUCAUUAUACGAUGGGUCUGGAAAUCCUCAUUCCCAUUUGAAGGCCUACCUUGACACACUAGCAGUUAUAGGGAAAAGCAAUGAUCUUAAGAGGAAGCUUUUUAUCAGUUCACUUAUGGGUCCAACAUUGAUGUGGUACGUAGAUAAAUGCCCAAGAAAAGGGGUCUCUUGGGAUCAUUUGGCAACUGACUUUAUUAGGCACUUCAACAACAAGCUAAAAAAGAAGCUCACAGUUGAGAUCGAUUUGGUUGAGUCACAGUUCUGAGACAAGGGAAAGACGAUCAUCGACGAGACAUCCAAACCUUCAAAUCCUGAAGUAAGUGUACCCAACCUCAACUAAUAUGGUACCCAUCUCCAAAAAUCAUUCCAACUUCCAAUUAUGUCCAAGCCUAUUACCUCUAAUCCUUCACAAAACCUCCUUCAUAAACUAUUUGGUAUCCACCUCCAUUUGUUGCUCUGAUAUUAAACUACCUUCUAAUGUCUUACCAAUAUCCACUGACAAAUCAACAACCCAAUCAAUCCACCAAACCUCAAUACGAGCUCCAAAAUAAUACACUCCUCUAGGUGAACCUAUAGAGCAAUUGUAUGAACGACUUAAGAAAGCGGGCUACCUCACGCCCAUUGUUGCCGUACCUUGUGAUCCUAAGUCUCGAUGGUAUCAUCCUGAUCAAAUUUUCUCUUAUCACUCUAGGAUGAGAGGACACCCUACUAAGGGUGCUUCGCCUUGAAGAACAUGAUCCAGAAGUUGGUUGAUACCAAAGUGAUAAAUGUAACGGGUUCAAGUUCUGAUGCUGCUUGAUUUGCUAAGCUUAACUGGCACUUGUUAACAAUGGUGAAGAAGACAACAUAUUGAUUCUCUGCUCCAGACUCUCAGACAUUUAAAAUCCCUUCAAGUUUUACAAUUUACAAUUUUCUUUUUUUGUUUUCCUUGCUUAUAUAAUUUGAACUACGGUCGACCUAAAUCCCCUAUAUGAGGGAUACGUAGGUGAUCAUUUGUGAGUUCGGUCUCACCAUAAUAAAACUUUCUUUUACCCUGCUUUAUCAUUUUUCUGUACGAAGUUGGAUGAAUCAACAAUAUGAUGUGAAUCAACAAAUCUGAUAUUCAACAAAAGUUGACCUUGUUCAUUUCCUAUCUCUCUUACCUUCUUUACAAUCACAAUUACAAAAUCAACAUCAUAACCUAUCACUGUCCUGUUUCGUGCACCUAGAUCAUUUAUUAAGUCUUAGUCUUCAUCCUAGAAUGUCUUUUGUCUUAUAUUAUUUUUGAACCUAUGUCUUAUAUGGUAACUUUUUGUCUGACUUGUUUAUUUUAUUUAAAGGUUGUCUAGUAUUUGAACAUUGAUCUCAAUUAAAUCCGCAAUAUGACAAAUAUGCUCAAAAUAUGAAAAGACUCUAGCCCUCCUUCUUCUCGCCCAAGAUAAAACAUUGUGCCUCCUUAUCAUCGCCUUACGCACACACCCUAUCAACAAUUUCCUUCUGCCCAUGAGAGAGUUGAUUCUGAUGCACGUCAUCAAAGGCUUCAUGACCUAAAGAAAAUGUUGGAUGAGAAACUAAGUUCUAAAGGCAUUUAUGACUUGAGAUAUGAGAAACUGUGUCUACUUUCAAAAGUCGAGUUACCUCUAGGAUACAUAAUUCCAAAUUUUAACAUGUUUGAUGGGCAUGGAGAUCCAAUCAUACAUCUAACGGACUACUGUGGAAAACUAGUUAGCUAGGACAUAAUGAGGCUUUUCUGAUGAGAUUAUUUGUUCAAAGCCUAUCAGGAAUGACACUUACUUGAUUCGCCCAACAAGAUUUCAACAAAUGGCAUAAUUGGGAAGCAUUGGCUCAAGAUUUUGUAAGGCAAUAUAAGUUUAACAUCAACAUCGGUCCAACAAUGUUGGAUUUUCUUGAGGUAAAAAGAAUAGACCAUGAAUCUUUUGAAGAAUAUGCAAUACGGUGGCGGUUAUAAGCUUCUAGGAUACAUCCUUCUGUACCUAAAGAGGAGUUGGUCCAAAUUUUUCUCAAAUCACUAGAUGGAAUAUACUUUCAGAAGAUGUUCUUCCUAAUCGGUCACAGUUUCGCGAGUCUAAUUUCUAUUGGAAAGAAAUUAGAAUAUGAAAUUCGAGCGGGGAGAAUUAUUGAUAUUUCUGCAAACUUAGCCACUUUUUAAACACCAAAGAGUCCAUCCGGGGUAGGAGAAGAGGAUUCAUCACCCUCCAUACCUCAAACACAAGGCUACCCAAAUAAUGAAAGGAUUCAUGCCAUUUUUUAUUCUUGUGGGAUACAUAUUGAACCUUGUGACUCACAAGAUUCUCAAAACAAAGCUUUUCAGAUCCAACCCUACUUUAUCCAGCAAGGUUCUCAAAAUGAGGCUUCUCGAACAUAUCUCAACUUUUAACAAGGGCCUUAUCCAGUACACAAUGCUUUACAUCAAUUGGAGAGAGUGAGGUCUCGAGCUUUUACUUUCUUAACUAAGCCCUUAGCGAACAUAUUUGAAAGGUUAAGGGCCUAAGGUAUCAUCGAACCAAAGAAAGGAUGGAUCCCUGCACAUCUACCCCUUAAUUUUAAUCCAUCUAAAAAUUGUUCUUAUCACUCGAAUGUUCAAGGCCAAGACAUUAAGGAAUGCUCGACGCUAAGGUACAAGGUUCAGAAUCUAAUCAAACAGAAAAGAAUAAAGGUACAACGAGGCCUAGUGAGCAAUGAUCUUAUCACUACGGGUGAAAUUUUUGUUCAAGGUGAUCUGACAAAAGUAUUUUCAAGACUUUCAUGAAGGAAGCGUAAAGCACACCAACUGAUUUAAUGUGCAAGCAUUCUUCACAAUUCCCCUUUGAUCCGUCUUAUAUCCAAUAACAUUUUCUUGCCUUCCCUGCAUUUCUUUGUAUUCACGAACUACGUUUGACUUGACUUCCAUUUGGAUACGUAGGCAGACCCUUUGGGUCUGGUCUUAAUCUAAUAAAAUAUUUCCUCUUCCGUCUCCUCCGAACACUCCAAAAAAUGUCAGGCUGAUAAGCCAAGCCCUUUAGUAUAUAAAGGUAUAUUACAAUUGAGGUCACGAUGUUCAAAUGUGGGACAACCAUUUCUCUUGGACUAAUGCUUUCUUUGAGUGGUACAAGAAUAUAAGACUCCAAAGACAAAACUGGGGCAGAAUUUUUGAGGUUUCAAGAAAACCUCAAAAAUUUCACAAGUAUAUCAUAUCAAUUCACAAUGACGUGCGAAAGACGCCUUUUAUUUUAAACUGGGGCAGAAAUUUUUGAGAAUUUCUCAAAAAUUUCACCAUGAUGAAGUAGAAGUCCCCAAUGGUCCAUGAAGCAGAAACAACGAGCAAGGAGGCAAAUCGAGCAAGGUACGAAUCAAUAUUAUUUUGACUUACGAUUUUUCUUUGAGUGAAGGCAACAGGUACUAAAUGCAACAACGAUGUUAUGAUAUAAUCAAAGAGGUCAGAAUUAUAUCCCCAAUAAGGGAAAUGAGCUAAGUUGUUCUAUCUUUUAACUUUGACAAUAUUUAAUUUGAUAUUACCUUAUUAAACAACAUUGGGUUCCUGUAGAACCUUAAUCACGAUAUUGGAUUCUUAUAGAACCUUAAUCAUAAUAUUGGAUUCCUGUAGAACCUUAUCCACAAUAUUAGGUUCCUGUACAACCUUAUCCACAAUCUUGGGUUCCUGUAGAACCGUAGAACCUUAUUAAACAAUCUUGUGUUCUUGUAGAACCUUAUCCAUAAUAUCAAGUUCCUGUAGAACUUUAAUCAACAAUCUUGGGUUCCUGUAGAACCUUAAUCAACAAUAUAGGGUUCCUGUGGAACCUUAAUCACCAAUGUUGGGUUCUCGAAACCUUAUAUUUUUUCAUGUCCUAACUCGUAUUCGCAUCCCACAUUUAAAAAUCACUCUAACCCUACCAUUUAUUUAUCCGUACUAUUACUACUCUAAUCCUACCUUUUAUUUUCAUACCUUUCAAUCCGUCAUUGCUUCAAAUUCCAUUCACUUCAAUCUCAUCAACCCAUGACAUCGUUGUUGAUGCCCCAUCCUUUAUCAUUCACAUUCUUUAGGGAUAUUGUUCAUUCCUAAAUCUAGAACUACACACGGCCUGAUUCUUGUAAAACCAGAGAUAUGUAGGCGACUUAAAGCCAAAGUCUCGGUCAUACUAUUUUUUAAUACCUCCCGUUGCUUUCUUCCUAAUAAACCGUCAUCUCGAUCGGACAAAAUUGGCUACUAUGUCAACUUUCGUUGCUUGACAAUUCUUUUAUCAUUUCCAAGCAACGAAAGGGCAGCUGUUGACACCCAAUUUUGACCUCUCGAUAUUCCUAUUAAGCUGCUACUUUAUAAAAAUCAUUUAAUUUUAAAUGCUAAUAUUUUUUACGCAUUAUUCAUGUAUCAUAUAAAUAACGACGUGCCACAUUUAUGAUUUUAAAGAUUUACAAAUUAUUUUUAUUUCUUUCUUAUUAUUUUUUAUAAUUUAUUAAUUAAAAUAUAAUAUUUUACAUAAUUUUAUCACUUUUCAUAAAUAUAAAUACUCACAAUUUACAAAUGCAUUAUCAUAACAUUAAUUUAUUUUAAUAAGACGUCUCAUUAUUAUUGUUAUUACUACAUUUACUAAACUAGCAACCACUUUUAUUCAAUUUCCUUCUCUUGGGUUUAAUUGCUAGCCAAUUUUCUAUUCUAAUUGAUGUCAAGUUCUAAUUGAUGUCAAGUUUAGUCAAAUUGAUACUCUUUUAAAUUCAAAUUAAAUUAUAAUUUUUGAACCAUCUUUUAAACUCUUUUAAUCUCAACCAUGGAUCAAAAUUGAUCCAAUGACUGAGAUUAAAUCUCUCACUCUCUUCUUUUACACAAAACCUAAACCCUAAUCCGAUUAUUCUCCCCCAAAACAGCCGCACCUCACAAGUUUUCUCUCUCUUCUUCCAUGCUCUCUCACUCUAAACAACUACCAGUGACCACUGCUCCUUCCGUCAGCCAUGAACGUCACCGGCUAUCCCACCACCGGCACUCUCCCUCUGUUCUUCCUCUCUUCGUCGCGUCUCAUCCAACAACCAAAAUCAGCCCCGCGCUACCACCAUCCCUCAAACCAUGCCGCUGUCACCGCCCCUACAUGUCGCCCCUGCUUCUACCGAAGAAGCGGGCAACUCCGUCGCUGCUCCAGCCCCCGUCAGAUGCCCCAGCCGCCGCUGCUCUAGCCACCUCUGCCGCCGACGAAAAGCAACAACAACAAUAGCCGCCUGCCCGGAGGACCACCACUGGUCCGCUUCUCCACCACCACUAUUUUCACUCAUCGCCGGCGAAACACGAUGGAUUCAUAACGAAUCCAUCCAGGUUUGUACCCCAUUUAAUUUCGUGUCCCAAAUUAACAUUGUUAUCUUCUUCUCAUUCUUUCCUUUGACAGAUUAUUAAAUUUGAAAUUAGUAACAGUUGAUUUUGAUUUUUGAUACAUCCAAUUUCAUAUUUGCUUGCAUUCUUUAAUUAACAUAUAGAUUACUGUUAGACCUAAUUUUGCAUCGAAAAGGUGCUCGUGGCUUGUUGAAUUCAUUCAUCGUUAUUACGUGUCAUAAUUUCGGGUAUGCCGAUGAGUAUUGUUACUGUUGUUUACUUGAAAUUCAUACGCAUGAUUGCUAUUGAACUGAUGUUAUUUACACCAAUGUUAAAAUUAUUUGGUUUCACUAUGAAUAGUUUGGUAAUAUAUUUUUCCUUCUCCGAUGAUUUGAAUAAUUAAUUUCAUUGAUUGAAUAUUUUUUCCUUUUUUAGCUUAAUUGAUUCUGAUACUUCUAAAAAGAUUUUGCCAAAUUAACAAUUCUUUUCUUUUUGUAGUUAUGCUUAGGGGUGGCAAUUUCAACCCAUAUUUUUGAAAAGAGUCCGUUUAACCCAUAUUUUGUGAAUUGGAUCACUCAUAUUUCAAAUGGGUAAAUAUGGACUUCAACUCGUUUUAAAAGCUCAUACAAAUAUAGACAAAAUGGUUAAAAUAUGGGUACCCAUUUAAAUACAGAGAUUACCCACUUAUGCUUAAAGUUUCGGUUUUUUUUCUUUUCUAGUUUCUUUUCUUCUUCUUUUUUCUUUCUUUUUUUCUUUAAUUUACUUUUUUUCUUUUUUCAUUUUUUUUACUCAUUCCUUAUAAUUUCUUUUUUUCUUUCUCAUUUUUUCAUCUAUUUUUUUAUUUUUAUUUCUUUUUUCUUUGUAUUCUUAUUUUGUUUUUGCUUUCCCCUUUCUCAUUCUUAUUUCAUCAUUCGUAUUCGCUUGAGACCUACAUGGGUUAAUAAAUAUAAACUUUUAAUUAUCCAAUUUAGCCUAUAUAAUUCAUAACAUCUCUUAUCAAUUAAAUAUAAUCCAUAGUCUCACUCCUUUAUUAUUAAUUUUUUCUAUCAUUUAUUUCUCUUUUUUUUUUUUUUAGUUUUUUGUUUCUUUUUUCCUUUAAUUUACUAUUUUUUUCUUUCUUUUUCCUUUAAUUUACCUUUUUUUCUUUUUCAUUUUUUCUACUUAUUUUUUACUCGUUUCUUACACUUUUUUUAUUUUUUUUUCAUCAUUUUUUUCUUUUUCAUUUUUAUUUAUUUAAUUUUUUUUUUGUAUUUCCGUUUCCCCCUUUUUCAUUCUUGGUUCGUCAUUUUAUCUUUUUUCUUAUUUUUUUAUAUUCUUUUCCUCAUCUUGUUUUUUGUCAUUGCAUUUUAUAUUUUUUUACUUUAAAUUUAUUUUGUAUCAUCUAUAUAUUUCAAAUAAAUUUAUUAUUUGUAUUUGAAUAGUUUAGUUGUUAAUAUCUGCAAUUUAUCAUGUGUAUUUAUAUACAAAUAAGUAUAUGAAUUAAAAUCAACAUGGGUUGUGGUGCAGUGGAUGGGACUUCUCCACCCUUAACCAGAGGUCGAGGGUACGAUCCUGGUUAUGGAGAAAACUCUGUUGGGAACGCUGCCACCUUAAUAGGCCCUGCAACGCUCGAUCCGAAUUAGUCGGGGCUCUAAUGCUGGCACCGGACACCGGAUGAAAAACCAAAAAAAAAGUAUAUGAAUUAAUUAUAUUUUCUUGAGACUAAAAUACAUAUGGCUGAAGAUCCACAUAGCCCUCGAAUUAUAAAUGUUGGGUGAAUAUAAAUCAAUAAGCGUUAAUGGUAUUUUCGUUAUCAUAAAAAAAAAGGAAACCAAAAAUAGAAAAAAAAAUAAAAAAGUAGAAAGAGAGGUAGAAGUUAGAGAUAGAAGAAAGAAAAAAGCGUAAAGAAAGAAUUGAAGAAAAAAAAUACAAAAAACAAUCAAAAAGAAAAAAUAAUGAAAAAAAAAGAGAAAAGGAAAAAGAAAAAAGAUGAUGGUGAAAACAAAUAUACUGAGUGGUUACGGUAUUUUAGUCAUCAUCCAUAAUUUGUACUAGACUUAACCAUGUUCUUCGAAAAUAAAAAAAAUAUAAAACAUAAAAUACAACCAAAAAAGAAAAAAAUGAGAAAGAAGUAAAAACAAAAAAAUAAAAAAUAGAAAAAAAAAAAGAGACUAAAAAGGAAAAGGAAAAAAAAAAGAAAAAAGAAAGAGAAACAAAGGGAAGAGGGUAGAGAUAGGAAAGAGAAAAAAAAUGAAAAAAAAAUGAAAAAAGGAAAAAAAAAAAAAAAAAAACUAGAGGCUACAUAUAGAAGAAAGAAAAAAAAAACUAAAAAGAAAAAACUAAAAAAAAAGAAAUGAAAAAAAAGUCAAGUUGAUAUGAUAUAGAAGUUUUAAGUUUUGACUUAGGAGUUAAAGUGUUGAAACCAUUUUUACCCAAUCCAUAUUUGACCAAAUCCAUAUUUACUCAUAUUUAUAUAGGCGGAUUGCAAUCCAAACCAUUUUUGCUCGAUCCAUAUUUAACCCGUCCAAAUCCAAUCCAAUCCGCCCGUUUACUACCCUUAGUUAUGCUAAUGAUUUGCCUUAAUUUAUAAGCAUGUUAGAAAGUAAAUUUGAAUUGAUUGAUAUUUUUCCUUCCUUUUAUUUAUUUUGACUGUUACUAUUAUUAAGUUUGUUUUUUAUAUUUAAGGGAAAUUUGGUUGAUUGAUUAGAUCAAAUAUUUUUUUCUGUUGAUUGAUGUCUAUCUUUCUUUUUAUGUUUUUGAACUGUUUUACAUUACUUGACUAAUAUAAGUGUGAUAUUUAUAUUUAGGAAAAUUUUCAUUGAUUGAUUGACUGGUUUUAUUUUCCCCUAAUUGAUAGACAAAAGAUAUUCUUUUUCCUUUAUUUGUCUUGACUCUAUUACUACUAGAAGUACAAGGCCCGUGUCAGUAUGGGCUCAACAGUAGAACAUGUGGAUUGCAAUUUUUAAGUUUUAGGAUUUAUCUUGGAGUAGAAAGUUUGAGCAGUAGAAUAUUUUCAUUAGUAUGAUUGAGCUGAAGGGAUCACAAUUGAAACCUUUUUUUAACCUUCUUGUUGAAUUUUGCGAUAAAAAAUAUAAAGAAAGAAGAGGCAUAAAUCUAAUGAAAUGGCUUAAAUCAAAUAUCCAGCAGAUUAUUGAUUUUCACUAUCGCAAAGAUUAAGAAUCAUGUAAACUUAUCCGAAAAAAAGAAUACACGCCUUAGAUUCGCUAUUGUUUUGUUUAAUUAUUAUUUUUAAUACAGGAAAAGAGUUUUGUUUUUUAAUAAAGAAGGAAGAGUUGAGAUUUUCUUUUUUUUAUUUUAUUUUUAAAGCAGAGAAAUGUUAAUUAAUAUUGAGGAGCUGUAAAAAGUUGAGAAAGAUGGCUACACAUAUUUGAUAGAAAAUUUUCUAAUGUUAAGAAAGUGUGAAGUAUUUGGUAGCAAAUUUGUGAUAGAUACACGGUUUUUGUACAUAAAUUUACUUUAUUUAUAUUUAAAUUAAUUUUUAAAAAUCUUUUGCAAAUAAUUUUAUACCUUUCUUUAAUUUCUUUAAAAUAUAAUAACAAAAUUUACUUAUGUUUUAUUCUUCUCACACUUUACUACAUACAUUUUAUCUUCUUUAAAUCUCAUUAUGCCAUUUUCCCCUUUUUAAACAUCACUGUAUAUUAAAAUCACGAUUGAAGCAGCCGCAGCAGAAAUCAGUUAAUUUUUAAAUUUUUUUUGUUAAUUAUUGUUAUUUACAAUACUUUUUAUUUCAAAUAUCUAUGAACUUAGCUUGGACUUAAUCCGCAUUCGCCUCUGUAGCUCUUCUAUAAGAGUGGACCUUUUUCUUUCCAAAUAAUAUAUGUUGCUUUAUAUCUUCUUCUGUUUUGUCCCAAUUUAUGUGGCAC